rnacentral:lncRNA from 1 species
UCAGCAAGGACGAUUUUGGAGAGCCGUGGCAUCUUGCUUUCAUUCGCCAGCUUCAAUGACUCGAGACAGCUCAAUCUGCAGAGACUUUUGGACAACAAAGAUUGAUUAUAACUUAAAUCUCCCCGUAUUCGGAGAUUUCGAAGAUUAGGUAGUCUGCCCAAUAUAUCUUCAGUACAGCAGCAAGGAUGCAAGGCUGAAAUGAAAUUGAGAUUUUCCAGAGAGCCACAGAAUUUUCCUGGAUGCGCAGGAAGUGUGAUUGAGCCAAAAUUUAGAUGCCUGAGUUUGUUCAUCUUCCAAAAUUCAUCUGCUGUAUGAUCUAUAUAGCUAAAGGGCAUGUCUAGGGUGUAGAGGUUCAGAAGAUUGCUUAACAAUGAUGAAGGCAGGCUGUUGAGGGAAGGGAUAUUCAACUUCAAAUAUCUCAAAAGAAAUAAAUUUUCAAUUCCGGAUGGAUACUGGAUGAGAACAAGAGAUCCCAAGUCCAAUACUCUGAGAAGUUUGAACAUUCCACAAAAUUUCUCCCAAUCUAUAGGGUCAAGGUGGCGGGUUUCUGGAGAGCAGCACAACAAAGAAUGCAGUUGCGAGUCAUAAUCAUCUAAGCAAGCAAAAUCACCCUCUCUUUCAACAGCGUUUAACCGUUUGGCUUUUUUUGGUGAUUUACCUUUUGGAUCCAUGAAAGGGGAACAGAUGAAUUCCACCAUAUAAGGAACUGUGUGCAGCACGGGACGCCAACGACCAGGAAUAGAGCAUGUGUUGAUAGUGCCUCCGGCUUUUCUCUUCUUUGCUUCAACAAAGCCUUCCUUGAUAAGUUGUUCCAAGUAACUCUCAGCAGUUGCCUCACUAUUGUCUGGAAUGAAACCUUCAGCUAUCCACAACUGAUAUAACUGCCUGGUGGAUAUCUCUUGGUGUGCGGGAAACACAGAUAAGUAGAUAAAACAAGGUUUCAAGCAAAAAGGUAACAUUAAACAUUUGAUGUACCGAAGCCCAAGGGGUGUCUCCACUGCUUCCCGUAUAUUUUCUUCUAAUGAGAUGCUUCCAUGAUAUAAGAUGAGGAAAGGCCGUCCUUUAUAUGUAGCUCUCAAUGGUCCUCCAGUGGGCACUAAAUCAAGCCGCAUGUUCUCUCCGUCUUCGAACUGAAAUGAGAUGAUGAUCCUAAUGUCAGUGAGUGUUAUUAAUACUCUACUUCCAUUCUGAUUAUCCGGAAGUAUUUCUUGAAUAACAUCCCACAUAUCAAUGCUCCAUACAUCAUCAAUCACAAUCAAAUACCGCUUGGUCAUCAGAUAUUCAUGAAGAAUAAUUUUUUUCAUUUCAUAAUUUUUAUCCAUUAUUUCACUCAACCUAGAUGAAGGCAUCAGAAACUUAAUAACGAUAUCUAAUAUUUGGUCAGCAUCAUAUUCAUUGCUGUAAGGUUCUGUAAUCCAAGCGUGACAAUCAAAAUAAUGCUUCACAUAACUGCUGUUGUAAGCCUCUCCGGCGAAAGCCGUCUUGUCCAACCCAAUGCUAUCAAGUAUGGCCACCACUGAAAGCUGAGGUGGUCCCUCAAUGUUAGAGCAGCUCAUUAUGCUGAACAGAAGAAGGUGAAGACUAAGAUGAAGAAAAUACAGAGCAAGUUACAGGGCAAGUGUGUCAGCAGUGCCAGCUCAGCUAACAGCUCAGCAGAUUAGUUAAAGAUGGUUGUAAGCAUGAUGUGCAUUGUACUGAAGUUAGUUAGCUUUGAUUACAGUUAGUCUUUGGAUUAGUUAAAUGAAGUUACCGUGAUUGCAUUGUAUAUAAACAGGUGAUGCUUUGUAAUUAAAUGUUAAGCAAAAUAAAAAUCAAAGUUUGUUAAGGAAAUAUCUCCAGAAUUAUCAAUUCAUUUUCUUAGUAACCAAACAACUUUAUUUCAUUUUCUUUCAGUGCGGAGAGGCCGAAAAUUUGCUGGAGGGAUACCAAUUAAUUUGGCAGAUUUCUGAAGAGCGAAAUGUGUUUGAUCGGAGGCAUAAACAACCAACUUAGUAAUGUUGUCAAAGCCUCCUCCAAGUUUUUCCAAUGCUUUGUCUCUUGCAGCUGCCAGAGUGCAAACGAGGGAUUCACAAGUGCUUCCGUGCAGGACACCACCACCUGUUCCGGAAAACAAAAAUGAAGAAGGAAGCUUGAGCAUUUUCCCCAUCCAAUCCAUCACAAUGGAUUCGAGUUCAGUUGCUACCGGAGAAGCGAGCCAGUUGAAGCCAACCACGUUGAACCCUGAACAAAGCAUCUCACCAAGAAAGCCAGCAGUGCUUGCAUUUGCUUGGAAAUAACCAAAGAAAUUGGGGCUUUGCCAGUGAGUGAGGCCAGGUAAGAUGCAGUCGGUGACAUCUUUUAGAAUAUCAUCCAAUGACUCUGGGGAAUGCGGGGCUGUGUCAGGCAACCGAGCCGACAAAUAACCAGGCUCUACUUUGCUUUGAACAGGGUAUUUCUCGAUGUUUUUGUAAUAAUCAGCAAUGAAAUCGAUAACAGCUUUCGAUUCGUCAGAGAAGCUCUUUGGCAUUACUCUUAACACAUGAGGCAAGAAUGGAACAAAAUCAUAAUACUAAAGAUCUUUUUAGUGCAAACUAUGGGAUGAUGAAUGCUAACUACUCUCAGUUUAGAGGAAAUAAUAAGAGAGGUGGUUAUAGUGGAUAUCAAGGGCAAUUUAAUGCUGGAAAUAGGAAUCAAAAUGGAGGAAGAGGAAUGUCUUUCAAUUCAUUCUCAAGAGGUUUUCCAGCUGGUGGAUAUACUGGUAAUGCUGGUGGCAGAGGACAGCAAAUGAAUGCAUAUGCUUAUAAACCUGUGCUUAACAACAGGCAUAAUUUCAAUGUGAAUCAUGGCUCAACUUCAAUGCCCAAUGGAAAUGGAUCUGAUGAUAAUGUGCUUAUCUGUCAAAUCUGUCAUAAAGCUGGACAUGCAGCUGAUGUUUGUUGGCACAGACACUUUGAUGGCUAUGCUCCUCAACCCAGACAAUUUGGAAGGGGCAGAGGGCAUAAGUCUGCUUAUAUGGCUAACUUUGAUCCACAAAUUGGCUUUACUUCACAAUUUGAAGAUUCGUUUGCUACAGAAUAUCCUGGUUAUCAUGGGUACCAUCCACCUGAUAUGAAUGCAUCAGUUGCAUCAGUAAGUCAUCACUCAUCUGAUAUGCAUUCUGUACCUGGAGCAGCUUAUAUUGCAAAUUUUGAAGGACCAGCUGAUGAAGGGUGGUAUCUUGAUAGUGGAGCUACGCAUCACAUCACUAACAGCAUGGCCAAUAUGCAUAUCAGAGAUCAAUUCACUGGAGCAGAUCAGCUCAUUAUUGGAAAUGGACAAGGUUUGCCCAUAACUCAUGUUGGUGAUGCAUCAUUUCUCUUUAAAAGUUCCAAUUCUACACACAAACACUCACCUAUAGUACUUAAAGAUAUUCUGUUGGUGCCUUCCUCUCAGUUAUCAUCAUCUUUUCUUUCUCAUAUGUGUUCCAAUAAACCUUUGUCUAUGCUUUCUUGUUGUUGUUUCAAUUCUGUUCCUUCUGGAGUAUUUACAGAAUCUUAGAAAUCAUGUAAUCAAACUGAUGAUUCAUCUUGUAAAACUUCAGUUAAUAAAGCUAUUUUGCUUCAUAGAAAGUUUGGUCAUCCCAAUCAUCAAAUAUUAACUCAUAUACUCAAAACAGCAAAAUCUAUUCAUUUACCUGCAUAUCAAAAGCAACAAAUGCAUCAGUACAUCUGUGAGGCCUGUCAAAUGGGCAAAACACAUAAACUUCAUUUUCCAAUUACUGAAACCAAAACCUCCAAAACUCUAGAACUUAUACACACUGAUUUAUGGGGUCCUUCUCCCAUUAUUUCUAGAGAUGGUUAUCAGUAUUAUAUAAGUUUUGUAGAUGACUACAGCAGGUAUACAUGGAUUUAUCCUUUGAAGCUAAAGUCUGAGGCAUUAGAAGUCUUUAAGCUCUUUAAACUGCAGGUUGAAAAUCAGUUUAGCACAACCAUUAAGAUGAUGCAAUCUGAUUGGGGGGGAGAGUAUAGACCAUUCACUGAGUUUUUAAGCCAAUUUGGUAUCAUCUUUAGACAUCCUUGUCCUCACACUCAUCAUCAAAAUGGGUUAGUUGAAAGGAAGCAUAGACAUAUUGUUGAAUUGGGUCUGACUCUCUUAGCUCAAGCUCAACUUCCCUUUAAGUUCUGGUGGGAUGCAUUUCAUACUGCUGUAUAUCACAUCAACAGACUUCCAUCUCCUGUUUUGCAACUUUUAACCCCAUAUGAAAAGACAUUCAAACACAAACCUGAUUAUGAUUUUCUCAGAUGUUUUGGGUGUUCUUGUUAUCCUUACUUGAGAGAUUACAAUAAACAUAAAUUUGCCUACCAUUCUAGUAAGUGCAUAUUCAUUGGUUACAGUCCUUCACAUAAGGGCUACAAAUGUUUACACCCUUCAGGUCGAGUCUAUGUGGCAAGACAUGUUACCUUUGAUGAAUCAGUUUUUCCUUAUGCCACUGAGUUUGUUUUUCAUAGUCAUGCUAAAACUGAUUCUCAAAUUUCUCAUUCCCAUACACCACAGCAAAUCCAUCAUAUCUCUUCUUUGCCUGUCAAUAACAGCACUGGUAAUCUGAACUCUGUAAGAUCUGGAAGCAGCAGUUCAAGUCACUCAGAUCAUCUAGAACAGACAGCAACUGAUCAGAAUUCACAACAAGCUACCAUAAAUGACAGGUCACCUUUUCAUACAUGUCCAACAAUUGUUGAAUCUAUACAAAAUAUUCCAAAACCUCCACAUCACUCUUUGCCUAUACAAAGUCACCAUCCUAGCAACACUUCUUUCUAUCCAUAUACACAACCAAAUACACAUCAGAUGAUAACCAGAAGUAAAGCAGGGAUUUUCAAACCCAAAAUUUAUACUGCUGUGCUUACUCACAAGGAACCAGAUACUGUGCAAGAAGCAUUAAAUGAUUCAAAGUGGCUACAAGCUAUGAGGGAGGAAUAUGAUGCCUUGAUUAAGAAUAAUACAUGGACAUUGGUUCCAAGACAAGCUGAUCAGCAUGUGGUUGGAAAUAAAUGGGUGUAUAGAAUCAAAUAUAAUACAGAUGGAAGUGUAGCUAAGUAUAAAGCUAGACUUGUUGCAAAGGGUUUUCAGCAAGUGGCAGGGAUUAACUAUUUUGAGACAUUUAGCCCAGUUGUGAAGUCAGCUACAGUUAGAGUAAUACUUAGCUUGGCAGUGAUGAAUCAGUGGAGAAUAAGGCAAGUGGAUGUCAAUAAUGCCUUUUUGAAUGGAGAGCUAACAGAAGAAGUUUUCAUGUCUCAACCUGAUGGCUUUAUUGAUGCUCAGAGAUCUGAUUUUGUAUGCAAAUUACACAAGUCUCUGUAUGGGCUCAAGCAAGCUCCUAGAGCCUGGUAUGACAAGCUUAAAGGAUGCUUAAUAAGCUGGGGUUUCACUACUACUAGUUCUGACACCUCAUUGUUUGUUAGGAAGAUCAAGACAUCUAUGAUCAUAGUUCUUAUAUAUGUUGAUGACAUACUGAUCACAGGUCCAAAUACUGAGGAGCUGGAAGGUUUUAUAACUGAAUUCAGCAAAACUUUUGCUCUAAAGGAUCUGGGAGUGUUAUCCUAUUUCCUUGGAAUUGAGGUAUUAUAUGAUGCAGAUUGUAUGUACUUGUCACAGAGAAAGUAUAUCAGAGAUUUGUUAUCGAAGGUAGAAAUGACUGAAUGUAAGGGCAUUGAUACACCCAUGAGUACUGGCUCUAAACUGCAAAAGAUAGUUCAGGGGGAACUUGGAUACUAUCUUGAAGAUCCAACUCAUUAUAGGAGCAUAGUUGGAGGAAUGCAGUACCUGAUACUUACCAGACCUGAGAUUGCGUUUGCUGUAAACAAGCUUAGUCAGUAUGUAGCUGCACCAACACUACAACAUCUAAUGGCAUGCAAGAGAGUUAUAAGAUAUCUAAAGGCAACUCAAGAUUAUGGUUUAAAAUUUUUCAGAGAAGGAAGCUUAACACUCACUAGUUUUACUGAUGCAGAUUGGGCAUGUGACUUAGAUGAUAGGAAAUCAGUUGGUGCUUAUUGCAUUUAUUUAGGCAAUAAUUUGAUAUCCUGGUCUUCUAAGAAACAAUCAGUGAUAACCAGAUCAAGUGCCGAGAGUGAGUAUAGAGCUUUGGCAUCAGUGAGUGCAGAGCUGACAUGGUUACAAUCCUUAUUUUCUGAGUUGGGAAUAAGUUGCAUAGAAAAGCCAAUCAUAUGGUGUGACAACAUUAGUGCCACUGAACUAGCAAAGAACCCUGUGUAUCAUUCAAGAACAAAGCAUAUCGAAAUUGAUAUGCACUUCAUUAGGAAUAAGGUUCUUGCUGGUGAGUUGAUUAUUCACUAUGUACCAAGUGAAGAACAGAUUGCAGACAUAAUGACCAAGCCUCUUUCAUUUGUAAGGUUUAACUACUUGAGGUCCAAACUCAAUGUCCAUCUUUGUCCUCUGAGUUUGAGGGGGGCUGUUAGAGCAGCUCAUUAUGCUGAACAGAAGAAGGUGAAGACUAAGAUGAAGAAAAUACAGAGCAAGUUACAGGGCAAGUGUGUCAGCAGUGCCAGCUCAGCUGACAGCUCAGCAGAUUAGUUAAGAUGAAGAUAUACCGGCUUCAGCUUUAGAAGUUUUGAUGCGAUCAAUGAUUUUGGAAUCCAUGUGCUUAAGUUGUUGCAUCCGUUGCUUAAUAUCAGUGAUUCUGCUUUGGAGUCCUUGCAGAGCAUCAAAAAUGUCCUUGCUGCAGCUGCUUUGAGUCUUCUGUUGAGUGAUGCUGUUGAUGAAUGUGUCAAUCACCUUCUCAGAUUCAUACGUAAACCAAUUGAUUUCGUCCAUAACGGUCGCCAGAUCUGGGUCAUGACUUUCCUCCUCCGCCAUUUUUUCGAACAGAAGGAGGGAGAUAUCAUCUUCAAAUUCGCUCAGCCAAGAAGUAACGAUUUCAACCUCCGCAUGAAGGUUCUGAAUAGGUUGUUUUGCAGCAUCAGGCAACGUGACUUCUUCACCAGCUAACACCCUUCUCAGCCUCUCUGAAAAUAGUCUGAAGUUGAUGUGCAUAUCUCCUCCUCUCUCAGAUUCACCCUGAAAUCAGUCCUGUAGCAUGCAAAGAAAUAAUUAAAAGAAAAACAUGCUUUAAAGCUCUCAAUUCAAACAUUAGUGCUGGCUCCCAUACCUCCCUUCUCUUAGCUAGCUCUCCGGUCAAGAAGUUGAAUCAAGAUCGUUGACUCUCAGAUUAUAACAGAUCAAGGAAGAAUCUUACAAUAAUCUCGUCUCCCAUAUGAUCAAGACCAAUUUGUUUUAUACAUCCACUUUUAAGAAAGGAAGGGUAAAAACAAUUCCACUGGGACUAUAAAAGCUUGUCUGAAAAGAAAAGAACGGAGCAAGCACAAGAGCGUUAUCAAUUAUUUAAUAAUUAAUAACUAAGCCGUGGAAAAAUGCAAAAUCAUGUCAGGUGUUACUUGUUAAAUUUAUUGCGAGACUUGCAUGUAUCUAUAUCACAAAUAAAAUUUGUAUCCCAGGGUUAUAAAUGUAAAAUUACUCAAAUAAAUAUGCAUUCUUAAUCAUGUGUGAUGCUGUCUUAUUUCUGAGAAAGUACUAAAUCGUUUGUAAAAUUUUAUAGUUAAUAUAUGUUCAAUUUUCUUUUUAGCAUUCUUUUUUAAGAAAUGAAAAAUGAUAAAGAAUUCUAACAACGGGUGACAAAAAUAAUAAUAAAUUGUGCAAUGUUACAAUGUUAAUUGAAAAAUAGUUAUAAUUUUUUAUUUAACAUUAUAAAUAAAAUCUAUAGUUGUUUUCUCACUACUGUAUCAUUUUUUAAUUCAAAUAUCAGUAUUAUAUGAGCUCUCACCUUUUAGAAAGUAUUAUAUCAUAAGACACUAUUUAUAAUUAUUUUCAUUUGAGCCCUUAGUGUUAAAAAUAUAACAAUCCAUCAAUGAAAUCAAUGAUAAUGGAAUUCUAAGUAGGAAUGGCAGAAAAAUCAAGUCUAGCUAGAGCAUGUUUUCUAAGUAUUCUGGCUGGUCUUGGGCUCCGGCUAAAAAGUUCGAACUCAGCUCGAAAGCCAACAUUGUAUAGUGGGAAUCUAGGACCAAUCACAUGGAGAUGAUUUGUAAAUUUUUGUACACAAUUUUAGUAUGCAUAUCAGAAGAGAGGCAGCAAUCUUAGUUGAUACUUUUAUUUGACAUAUGAUGUAAGAAACGGAACAAAGAUUGUAACGCCACAAAUUUUGCAAUUCAGCAUCCAAAAUAUCACUAGAACUUGCAAGACAAGCUUUAAUCUCUUCAACAAAGGUCGAAUUGCGGGCAGGAACACAAACGCAGAGAUGGGUAUCAAGAUCGCAUUCGAAACGACUGACAGGGAUUGUCACAGUCGGCAUUGCUUUUACAAGUGACUGCUUUUGAUUCCGGUUGAGCAUCAACUGCCGGCAUGGAAAUAUUAAACAACACACUUGCAUAUAUAAAUGCCAAACAAUUAAUUAGCCUAAUGCUAAUAACACGCCUGCAUAUAUAAAUGCCAGCCAAUUAGUUGUCAUAUUAUAGUUAAUUAUGCAUGCAUUAAAAAGAUGAGGAAAAUAAGAUUAAGGAACAAACAUGAGGCCACCAACAGAGUGAUGAAAAAUGUGGAUUUAAGUUUAAGUUCCAUAAUGUUUAUGUAAGCAAAAGUGCAAAACUGAGAGUCUGUGGAUAAUGAUAUUAUUAAAUUUAAUAUGGGUUUGGUUUGCAUAGAUUCAUGAAUUUCUCUAGACAUUAUAUGCGCCGGGGGAGAAUUUAAUCCACUUGACAACUAAAAAAUUCAGAAAUCAAACCUCGAUUUGACAAAUUAGAAAUUUAAAAAUUAAAUUUUUUUCCAUAUGCAUGCUCUCGUUUUUCUCUCUAUCACAGCGGUAUAAUUGGAAUUAUUGUUAUGACAAUUUGAUUCUCUUUUCUUACAUGUUGCAGGAGUCAUGUCCUCCCGUUGAGGUGACAAAAUGACUAUGGAUUGUGCCUGAGUGGAGUACACCACCAGUAUGAUUAUCUCACUCCCUUUCGAGGUUUUGUUGCAGUAAUUUCUCAUCUUUUAUAGGGUACCCUGCUCUUCAUUGCUUCUGUAGAAGUCUUAUGAGCUAAUUGCUUCCGAAUCUUUAAAUUUCUUCAAUGAGGAACCUUUGUUUGGAAAAUUGAUUUUCAUCUGAUCCGAGAAGGGUGCUUUGAAGCAGAGAGCUUACGAAAUGCAGCAUGCAAAAUCAUGACUACAAUGCAGUAGACUAAUUGUUAGCUCACUCUAAGCAAAGGCAACGUUCAUAAAAGAUGAAGAAGAGUUUCUAAUAUUUACCAACAUAACCGAUAGCAAGUGCACAGAAUAGAGUCAUCUGAACAUUCAGUAGCAUAAGAACAACCAAUGUAGCUGCAAAGAUGAGAUGUAAUUACUACUGUGAAGUCGACGAAAGAAUUCCACUAUUUAUCAACAACUAGACUGUAGUAUAAUGGAAAGACCUGCCAAGGAAAGUUUAAAGCAAAACUCAUCCAGAGAAGGCAAGAACAUUAGUAUAGAAGCAGAAGUGCACACAUUCAUAUUUAGGGGUAACGAGAAAUGUAUCAUAAAUCACUUGCUCUAGCACAGUACUAUUUCAUGCUAAUUUUCUUGCUCGUUCUAUGGUUAGGACCCUUUGAGCGGAAAGAAAUCAAAUCACAAUGCUUAUUCUAGCUAGAAACUCCUGAAGUCCAUGCUUGAACCCUGUGUCAAUUGGUCAUAGACUCCAUAUUCUCCCAAAAGUAUGACAUUUUUUUCUUCCACUGAUUAAUGGAACUUAAAACUGUUUUGCCACAAUCUUAGUCAUACAAACCCUUUCUCUUUACAUUUCUUAAGGUCAUCAGACCCAAACCAGAACAUGUUUACUUCCUAGGAGAAAUCUUAAAUAUCUUAAUCAAUACGGAACUGUGUAGUUCAGACAGCAUUCCCUUGGCCAACUAGACGUAACGAUUUGCAAUGUCCUAGUAAGUCUAUGAGUGGAACUAACAGUGCCCUUCCAAUACGGAAAAACAAUCGUCAAAAACAAUUUUUUUACCCCAUCAACCACAUACAGUAUAAGACUGUAGCUGGUUAUCUCAAUAUCGGCUGCCAUUUUGAUUCAAAGAAGAAAUAUUUGAGAACUCACCACAUUGUGCAAUGCGAACCAGAACCUGCCUAAUCACAGGAUGCCGAUCCCAGUUCCAUUUGUCACUACAGAACUUGAAAAAAUCCCAAAGUGCCAAACUUGAUAUCAACCCAACAAGUGCAAGUGGCAUCUGGUAUCUAUAAGAUGGAGACAGAGACAAUGUCACUAGACAGAUGAUACACAGAAAAAAAAACUUGUAAUACAACUAACACACACAAUACUAUGAUUAAAAAAAUAUCUCCAUCAGUUAAAAACUAAACAAUGGAAAGGCGAGACUCUAUGAACUAAUGCCCUGAACCAGCACAAAUACCAAUUCUCCCGGAGUAUUUUAAGUAUUCAUAUAGUUGUUUCAAAGCACAGGAAAAAAAAAAACAACGCAAAAUUGCAAACUCAUAGUGUUGUUAUUUAUCAAUUGAAACCCAGAAAAAAAAAUCUGUAACUUAAUUAUUCAUUUAAGCAGAUUGAAACCCUUACAAACACAGGUAAGCAAAUCAAAAUUAUCAUUAAAAAUCCAAUCAAGGCCACAUAAAUCUAAUCACAUCCAAAAGCAUCCCAAAAUCUCGUUCAAUAUUCAUACACCCACAUACAAAAACCAUUCAAAAAUUUAAUUUUUUUUAACUCAAAAUAAUAACUCAGGAAAGGAAACAAAAUUCUUACAGAGAGCAAGCAAAGAAGAGGAUGAACAAAGAAGCAUAAUUCCUGGCAUAACGUUUAACAUUCUCAUGAACUCUCAACUUAAGGGUGUGUGGGGAAGAUGGAAACGAGUAAGACCCAAGAGCCCCAAUAAACUCACGGGUCCAAGACGGGGUGUUGGCUGAGAAAUCAUCAGUGGUGAGUUUAGCAAAAGGGUUGGCGGUAAGAAGAGAGAUAAAGGUGUAUAAAUAAUGUAAAAGGCUGUGAGUUAUGGUCGUGGCUGUGGCUGUUUCUUUGGUGGAGGCUGUUGUGACGGCGGUGGCCGAUGUCGUGGUGGCGGUGUCAAGGCUUUCGAGGUAGCCGGAGUCGCGUAGCCAUGACUCGAAUGCUGGGUCGGUUACGUUUAGAGAUAACGGGUUGGAUGCGAAUACCUUCCCCAUUGCAAAAAGUUAUCCAAUUUCGGUUGAACGAGGGUCACUAAAUUAUCAAAAUAUUAAUAACUAAUUUGUAACAAAAUUCAUAUGAUAUGAUAUGAUGAUAUAGGCCUUGGUUAGUGGUUUUCUAAACAAUUUAUUAUUAUUAUUAUUCUCUUAAUCAUUCCAAGUUUAAAUUUCGAAGAGGUAGGGGAUAGAAAUAAAUUAUAUUAGGAUUUGUCGAUUUUUCAAUAAAAACUUCAGUAUUAUAUGCUUAAUUGUUUUAAAGAAUUUUCUUUGAGUAUUGUUUUGAGUAAAUAAAUGUGAUUAAUUUAACAUGCUUAAGGAUUUUUAGUAUUUUAAAGACCAUACAAAGUAUAACUUAAUUUUUUAAAUUUAAUAGAUGAGUGUGUAGAACAAUAAAGUAUUUAAAGUAAUUAUUAGAGGAUAAAUAGGCAUAUCCAAUACUUUUAUUUUUUUGAAAAGAAAGUAAAUCUUUCAUAAAUCACAACACCUCAAAUACAACUUGAAUCUCGACUGGAAUAGUUCCUAGCCACAUAGAAGAAGAAUUUCUUCCCAAAGCUAACUUAGCUAGAGAGUGGGCAUAAGCAUUACAUUGACUUGUUAUGUGAUGAACAACUUUUUGAAAAACUUUCAACUGAUUUCGGAUCUCCAGAAUUGUCCAAAAAAUUUCUGUUUUGCUGCUCUUGGUGUUGUUUACAAGUUGAACCACCUCUAAGCAAUCUGACUUAAUGAUCAAGGAAGUUAAAUCUGCUUCUUUUGCCAACUGAAGCCCCCAUUGCACAGUCUCUGCCUCAGCUAAACUGACUGGUCCCUUAAGAUGAAUUUGAUUAAUACCGGCUGCAAUUAUCUUUCCAUUAGAAUCUCUAAUCACUGCUCCCACGCCUGCAAUCUGAUUCUUAGUAUUGAUGGCAACAUCCACAUUAAUUUUGAAAAUAUUUUCAGGGGGAGGGAACCACUUCUGUUGUUUCUCUCCUCUGGGGUGGGCAAUAUGAGAAGGCUUUGUCUUUCUUACUCUUUGAAAAGCUGAGCCUUUACAACAUGAGCAGGGAGGGGACUCCACUUUUGAUGCAUCAUAGAUAGUUUCUUCUCUGCAAAAACUUUGCCCAAAUUUCUUAAGUCUCUUAAAGGCAUCUAUCAGAUCUGCCUUUGCAACACUUUCCACAAAGUAGAAACUUUUCUUCUCAAAAUUAUGCAUCAUAAAAUACAAAACCAAGCAAAAUCAAAUGAACAACCCCAAAUUUGUAAAUCUGGGUAGACAAACAAUAAUAAACCACCACAAAUCUCUAGAUAUGAGUGGAAGAAUACACCACCACAGAUUUGAAAAUAUGAGUGGAAGAACAAAACCACCACAGAUAUGAGGAUCUGAGUGGAGAAAAUAAGUAAAGAAAAUAAAAAAAGAAGGUUUCGCUAGAAAACCAACUCAUAGAGCUGAUUUUUCGGCGAAAGAAGAAGGUGAAAUGUUACUGGAUGUUCAGAGCCUUUUUUUUCUGGAAAGGCAUAUCCAAUACUUUAACUUAUGGUUGGUUGUUUUUUUCACUGAAUUUUCUAAUUUGAAUUGAAUCAAUUACAAGUUGUGACUCGAGCUCAAGAGAGUUGAAGAGAAAGAAAAAGAAAAAUGGAGUCCUUCUCUUGUCCCUUUUAAGUGAAUAUAUUUAGGUUGGGUACCGCAGGGUAGUUUAAUCUUUUCUACUGCAUGGCACCUCUUUACUCAAAUAUCAAAUGAGCUUGCUCUUCACGUGACACCAAAUUUACCAAACUUUAUUUUUUUCCUUGAUUGGCUCGUGUAGGACAGUCGAGGUGUCAUUUGUUUUUUCACCGUUCAACUUCUUAUUUAUUAUUCUUAUACCACAUGUCAGCUUUCAACUAGUCCAUAAAUAUCCUUCAAAUUUUACCUCCAAACAAAUCUAAUAACCUCUUGAAAACAAAAAAUUAAAAAUUUACUCAAUCAUUCAAUGUUAAGGAAAUUGGCCAAGUAAUGGAAUGCUAACAAACCAAAUUAAAUUUCUACAUUUAAUUUUUUUUCUCAUGCAUGCUCUACUAAAAAUAUUUGAUGUGGUGCUAAUGCUCACUGCAAAGUAUAUAUUAGAUGCUCGUGCAUAUACCGUAGGCUAUAGCUAUACAAAAACUUAUACUUGCGUUCUCGAAUGCACACACUUGCACGCAAAAUUCUAUUAUUGAGAGUCGCUGCUUUCUAUAACACGGCCUUUUUCUAGCCUUUCAUUAGACGUGGUUUCAAUUUAUUUAACCAUUAGAGGGACACAUCAGUAGUCACAAAAAUGCCCCUCUAAAUGGCAAUUCUUUUAAUCAUUUUGCUGCCGCUCUUCCUUCCAGUCCCAAGUACAUAGCCCAAACUUCAAUUUUCUCUGGGAAGGUAAUGAAGCGUGGCUUAGUCUCAGUAAUAUGUCUUCCAUAUUCCAUGGAAUGAGCCAAAAGAGGAGUACUUCUAUAGUUAGUAGCAACUAGCAAUCAUAUUGAUUCUUAAAGGAAUUUUCUACAUCAGAUAAAGAAAGAGCAGCAGAGAACAAAGCUGUUAAUCAAUCAACACAUGUAAAGCAGUAUUAGUAUUUCUGCCUUAUUGUAGUGCCUAAGCGGGUAUUAGGAUUUCUCCACAAGAACGUUUACUAAGACAUUCAGCCAAGUGUGAAGUUCAUCAAUAAUUAAUCUUUUCUGGAAAUAAACGGAACAUAUUGAGUGCCAAACUUGCCCAGCCUUUGAAACAGGAUUUCAGAGCAAGCAACAGUGUUGAAGUCAACAAAUUGUUGAAAAAUAAUAAUAAUUAAAAAUUAUAUUUUUAAUUAUUUUAUUCUUAGCAUAGUAAUUCAUUUCUCCUAUAAAUAGUUAAGGAUUUCAUUCAUUUGAAAUCGUCCCAAAAUUGUUAAGCUUAUAAGUUUCUAAGCUUUUGAGGAAAGUGAGAGAAGUGUGUCUGGGGAAUUUAUCUUUCCUGCAGAGUGUGAGAGUACUGGGUAUAUUUGGGUUUCUGGGAAGUGAGAUUCGUUACUCAAAUAUUGUACUCUAUUAAUUGUUAAAUAAACAAUUAUUCUUUCUUGCCUCCGUGGAUGUAGGUUUAAUUACCGAACCACGUAAUUCUUGUGUCCUUUAUUUUUCUAUAAUUAUUUGGUGCGCUUGAUUCCGCAUUCCGCGCACAACAAGUGGUAUCAGAGCCGAAGGUUCUUACUUGGGGGGAUACGGUACUGUUCACGUAUACGGUACUAUUCCCGUAUUCGGCACUGUUCACAUACGGUACUGUUCACGAAUACGGUGGAGACGGCCAUUUAUACUUGGGAGACAGUCUAUUGUAAGUAGUGUAGAUGUAAGUUUAAUUACUGAACCACGUAAAUUCUUGUGUCCUUUAUUUUUCUGUAAUUAUUUAGUGCGCUUGAUUCCGCAUUCCGCGCACAACAAGUGGUAUCAGAGCCGAAGGUUCUUACUUGGGGGGAUACGGUACUGUUCACGUAUACGGUACUAUUCCCGUAUUCGGCACUGUUCACAUACGGUACUGUUCACGAAUACGGUGGAGACGGCCAUUUAUACUUGGGAGACAGUCUAUUGUAAGUAGUGUGUAUUUUUGCAUGUCUAGGAAAGUUCUGUUAACAAAGGCGAUAAGAGUCUAAGGAUUCUGGUUUUUAAUUGGGAUCGAGUUCCUGUCCAGUUUUCUGAGAACUUUCCUGGUGCAUUUAUUCACGCGAAAUUAACAUCAUAGAGACUAUUUUUCAAGUGGAAAUAGUUCGUUGAGAAAAUAGUAGAAGGUGAAACUUCCAGAAUUGGGGAGAGAUCUACCGAGACUAUUUCAGGAGACACUUCAGGUGGGAUGCGAGAUUUGUCAAAUCGCUAUUCAGCACCUGUUAUAGGAGGCCAGAAGAUCGAUGUUGAAAAGUUUGAUGGGAAAAUCAACUUCGGCAUGUGGAGGCGCGAAGUUAUGGAUGCCCUUAUUCAAAUCGAUCUCGAUGUUGUUAUGAAAAAUAAAAGAUGAGUAUCGUCUGAAGCUUUGGUGAGCAAAGAUUGGGCGAUGGAGAAACAAAAGAAGCGUGGUGGAAAGAAUUCUCGAUCCAAAUCGAGAAGCAGAAAUAUAGCUCGAGAUGAGUGUGCCUUUUGUCAUGAAAAGGGCCAUUGGAGGAAAGAUUGUCCAAAGGCUCAAAAGAGAGAUGGGAAGAAACCAGCAGCAGCAAACAUGGCACGGAAAGAUGAGGGCUCUGAUUAUUCACUAAGUAUUACUCCUGCAGCAUACGUGGCUAGUUCGAGCGAGUGGAUACUUGAUACUGGAGCAACUUAUCAUUUGUGUCCUAUUAAGGAAUGAUUUACGGAUUUUCGUAAUUUGGAAUCCGGUGCAGUUGUGAUGGGGAAUGAUCAACCUUAUCGCACAAUGGGGAUAGGAACAAUUCGGCUCAAAAUGUUUGAUGGAAUGAUCAGAGAACUCAAAGAGGUUAGAUUUGUUCCAGCUUUAAAGAAAAAUCUAAUUUCUGUGGGUGCUUUGGAAGCUAAAGGCUACAAGGUUACCAUUGAAGAUGGUAUAAUGAAGUUUACACAUGGGGCUAUGGUGAUUCUGCAAGGGGUUCGGCGUCACAAUCUGUACUAUUUGAAGGGAGGUACAACUGAUGAAGCAAAUGUUGUUGAAGCGCAUAGUGACACCACCAAGCUAUGACAUGUACGACUGGGACAUGCUGGAGAGAAGUCUUUGCAAACUCUGAUGAGACAUGGACUCUUAAAAGGUACCAAAACCUGUAAAUUAAAUUUAUGUAAGCAUUGUGUAGUAGGCAACUGAUGAAGCAAAUGUUGUUAAGGCGCACAGUGACACCACCAAGCUAUGGCAUGUACGACUGGGACAUUAAGAGUCUAAGGAUUCUGGUUUUUAAUUGGGAUCGAGUUCCUGUCCAGUUUUCUGAGAACUUUCCUGGUGCAUUUAUUCACGCGAAAUUAACAUCAUAGAGACUAUUUUUCAAGUGGAAAUAGUUCGUUGAGAAAAUAGUAGAAGGUGAAACUUCCAGAAUUGGGGAGAGAUCUACCGAGACUAUUUCAGGAGACACUUCAGGUGGGAUGCGAGAUUUGUCAAAUCGCUAUUCAGCACCUGUUAUAGGAGGCCAGAAGAUCGAUGUUGAAAAGUUUGAUGGGAAAAUCAACUUCGGCAUGUGGAGGCGCGAAGUUAUGGAUGCCCUUAUUCAAAUCGAUCUCGAUGUUGUUAUGAAAAAUAAAAGACACUUGUAUAAUGAAGAAAUUUAGGAUCGUAUGAAUGAAAAAGCCUGUGGUCAGAUCAGAUCUUGUUUGACCAAGGAGGUGAAAUACUUGGUGAAAGAUGAGGAGUGUGCGGUGACUUUAUGGCGUACAUUGGAGGAGAAGUACCUGGUGAAAAGUCCUGAAAAUCGCCUUCAUGCAAUGAGCCAAGUAUAUGGUUUUCGAAUGAAGCCUAGGGUGUCAAUGCACGAUCAUGUUUCAAGAUUUGAAAAGUUACUUGCUGAUUUGAAGAAUCUUGAUGAAGAUAUUAAGGAUGAAGUCAAGGCUAUAAUUCUGUUACACUCACUACCAGAGGAAUAUAGCCAUUUUGUGACUACUUUGAUAUAUGGGAAGAGUGUGAUCGUCUUUAAAGAUGUUUGCACAACAUUGACUAGCUUAGAGAUUCGGAAUAAUGAUAAAAAUUCUGAACGAGCAUCNNNNNNNNNNNNNNNNNNNNNNNNNNNNNNNNNNNNNNNNNNNNNNNNNNNNNNNNNNNNNNNNNNNNNNNNNNNNNNNNNNNNNNNNNNNNNNNNNNNNNNNNNNNNNNNNNNNNNNNNNNNNNNNNNNNNNNNNNNNNNNNNNNNNNNNNNNNNNNNNNNNNNNNNNNNNNNNNNNNNNNNNNNNNNNNNNNNNNNNNNNNNNNNNNNNNNNNNNNNNNNNNNNNNNNNNNNNNNNNNNNNNNNNNNNNNNNNNNNNNNNNNNNNNNNNNNNNNNNNNNNNNNNNNNNNNNNNNNNNNNNNNNNNNNNNNNNNNNNNNNNNNNNNNNNNNNNNNNNNNNNNNNNNNNNNNNNNNNNNNNNNNNNNNNNNNNNNNNNNNNNNNNNNNNNNNNNNNNNNNNNNNNNNNNNNNNNNNNNNNNNNNNNNNNNNNNNNNNNNNNNNNNNNNNNNNNNNNNNNNNNNNNNNNNNNNNNNNNNNNNNNNNNNNNNNNNNNNNNNNNNNNNNNNNNNNNNNNNNNNNNNNNNNNNNNNNNNNNNNNNNNNNNNNNNNNNNNNNNNNNNNNNNNNNNNNNNNNNNNNNNNNNNNNNNNNNNNNNNNNNNNNNNNNNNNNNNNNNNNNNNNNNNNNNNNNNNNNNNNNNNNNNNNNNNNNNNNNNNNNNAAGUCUUUGCAAACUCUGAUGAGGCAUGGACUCUUAAAAGGUACCAAAACCUGUAAAUUAAAUUUCUGUGAGCAUUGUGUAAUAGGCAAGAAAACAAGGGUUAAGUUUGGUACGGCUAAUCACGAUACUCGUAAGAUCCUUGAAUAUAUUCACAGUGAUGUAUGAGGACCAACUAAGACUGCAUCAAUUGGUGGAAGCCAUUAUUUUGUUACAUUUGUUGAUGAUUUCUCUAGACGUGUGUGGGUGUACACCAUGCGAGGAAAGGAUGAGGUUCUAGAGAUUUUCGUGAAAUGAAAGAAAUUAGUGGAGACUCAAACUGGCAGAAAGAUCAAAGUAGUACGAUAUGAUAAUGGGGGUGAAUAUACUUCUGAUCCAUUCUUGCAAGUAUGCCAGAACGAGGGUAUUAAAAGACAUUUCACGGUGAGACAUACUUCGCAACAGAACAGUGUGGCUGAGCGUAUGAAUCGUACUUUACUGGAGAAGGUACGGUGUAUGUUAUCUAAUACUGGUUUAGAUAAAAAGUUUUGGGUUGAAGCUGUGAGCUACGCAAGUCACUUGGUAAACCGAUUGCCUUCUGCUGCAAUUGGAGGUAAAACUCCUAUGGAAAUGUGGUCUGGAAAGUAUGCACAAGAUUAUGAUUCCCUUCGUGUAUUCGGGUGUCCAGCUUAUUAUCAUGUCAAAGAUGGUAAACUGGAUCCUCGUGUUAGAAAAGCUAUCUUUAUGGGAUUCAAAAGUAGAGUAAAGGGCUUCAAGCUUUGGGAUCUCGAAGACAAAAAGUUUGUGUGUAGCAAAGAUGUCACAUUUGAUGAAGCUUCAAUGAUCAAAGCUUCAAGUUCUCAGCAGGUGGAGAACAAGACCAAAGAGGUAUUGCAGCGGGUGGAGCUUGACGUAACUCCAUAUGUACCAGUUAGUUCUACAUCAAAGAAGAGUUCAACUAUAGAGGUGACACCUAGAGUUGAAGAAGAGGUUGUUUUUUCUGAUGUCCCACAAAAUGAAGAAACAAUUGAUGAUGUAGAUAAUGAUGAUUUUAUAGCAACAAGGAGGCCAAGAAGAGAGAUAAAGAAACCCAGAUGGCUUACUAAAGAUAUGGUGGUAGCCUAUGCACUUCCAGUUAUUGAUGAUGACUUCCCCAACACUUUCGGUGAAGCAUUACGCUGUAGUGAAAGUGAUCAGUGGAAGUUAGCCAUGGAGGAAGAGAUGAAAUCUCUCCAUCAAAAGCAGACUUAGGAACUUGUAAAGUUACCAAAGGGGAAAAGGGCUAUUGGCAAUAAAUGGGUCUACACCAAAAAGCAAGGAUCUCCAAAUCAAACAACUCCUCGAUACAAGGCAAGGCUCGUGGCAAAAGGUUUUGCUCAAAAGGAAGGUAUUGACUACAAUGAAGUUUUCUCUCCAAUUGUAAAACAUACUUUCAUUCGUAUCCUACUUGCCUAAGUUGCAGAAUAUGAGUUAGAGUUGGCUCAAUUGGAUGUUAAGACGGCGUUCUUGCAUGGAGAUUUGGAGGAGGAAAUCUAUAUGAUUCAGCCUUGUGGUUUCAGAGUUACUGGAAAGGAGAAUCAUGUGUGUAGGUUGAUUAAAUCUUUGUACGGACUGAAGCAAUCGCCAAGGCAGUGGUACAAAAGAUUUGAUCAAUUUAUACAAAGGCAGAAAUUCACCAGAAGUGAACACGAUCAUUGUGUUUACUUUAGAAGACUACCAGAUGAAGCUUUCAUCUAUUUGUUACUCUAUGUCGAUGGUAUGCUUAUAGCUUCGAAGAAUAGAGAUGAGAUCGAAAGAUUAAAGAAGCAGCUGGCUUCUGAGUUCGAGAUGAAAGACUUAGGUGAUGCACAGAAAAUACUUGGGAUGGAGAUUCGUAGAGACAAGAAGAAUGGGAGCGUAUGGUUGACUCAAAAGUUUUAUUUGAAGAAAGUGCUAGAAAGAUUCGGUAUGGAUGACAAAAUUAAAUCGAUAUGUACACCUCUAGCUCCUCAUUUCAAAUUAAGCUCUUAUUCAUGUCCUAGAUCUCAAGAGGAGUGCGAUUACAUGGCUCAUGUUCCAUAUGCUAGUGCUGUGGGUAGUCUUAUGUAUGCUAUGGUAUGCACAAGGCCCGAUAUAUCUCAAGCAGUGAGCAUGGUUAGUAGAUACAUGCAUAAUCCGGGUAAAAAUCAAUGGCUUGCGGUAAAGUGGAUUCUCUGAUAUCUAUAUGGGACAGUUGAUGUUGGGUUAUUGUUCAAGAAGGAUUGUGGUCAAUAAUGUGUUGGGUAUUGUGAUUCUGAUUUCGCUAGAGACCUUGACAAGCGAAGAUCAACAAUGGGCUACGUAUUCACAUUGGGUGGAGGUCUGGUUAGCUGGAGGUCGAUUCUACAAUCGACAAUUGCUCUAUCCACUACGGAAGCAGAGUAUAUGGCAGCAACUGAAGCUGUAAAAGAAGCUAUCUGGUUGAAAGGCUUAUUAGGUGAUUUGGGAGUAAUCUAGGAGAACAUUGCGGUCUUCUGUGAUAAUCAAAGUGCGAUAUUCCUUGCGAAGAAUCAAACAUAUCACGCUUGGACGAAGCAUAUAGAUGUGAAAUAUCAUUAUGUGAAAGAGAUUAUCGAGAGCGAUGUUGUGUUGUUGAGAAAGAUCGAUACCAAAGAUAAUCCAUCAGAUAUGUUGACCAAGGUAGUUUCUGGAGUUAAGUUUCAACAUUACUUGAAAUUAAUUCAAAUCCUUCGAUUGUGUUAAGAUAUGUCCUUCGGGAAUUUUGAACUACGGUUGGUUUGAUCCCAAAUUUUAGAUACGUAGGCAGUCAUAGAGAUGCAACCACUUUGGGGAUGAUGGCUUGUUGGUAGUCGACUCAAAUUUGAAAAAUUUUCGCCGAGGUGGAGAUUUGUUGAAGUCAACAAAUUAUUGGUGCAAAUUUGUUGAAGUCAACAAAUUGUUGGUGCACCAACAAUUUGUUGAAAAAUAAUAAUAAUUAAAAAUUAUAUUUUUAAUUAUUUUAUUCUUAGCAUAGUAAUUCAUUUCUCCUAUAAAUAGCUAAGGAUUUCAUUCAUUUGAAAUCAUCCCAAAAUUGUUAAGCUUAUAAGUUUCUAAGCUUUUGAGAGAAGUGAGAGAAGUGUGUCUGGGGAAUUUAUCUUUCCUACAGAGUGUGAGAGUACUGGGUAUAUUUGGGUUUAUAGGAAGUGAGAUUCGUUACUCAAAUAUUGUACUCUAUUAAUUGUUAAAUAAACAAUUAUUCUUUCUUACCUCCGUGGAUGUAGGUUUAAUUACCGAACCACGUAAAUUCUUGUUUCCUUUAUUUUUCUGUAAUUAUUUGGUGUGCUUGAUUCCGCAUUCCGCGCACAACAAAUAGAACAAAGACAGAAAAUACAUUCAACUGAACCCAACACCAGAAAGCAUCACAAAUAUUAUUUAUUUUUUGUACACAAUUAACGAACCAUCGCUGAAGCACAAAUCAAUGAACUCUCAACUGAAAAUCCGAAACGAAACUUCUUAUUUAUGAGUAGACAGCGGAAACAAAGAAACCAAAAAAAAGUCCACCACUGUAGGAUCAGGAUUUGUCUGUGUAGACAGUAGAAGUGAAGAUGGAAAGGAUUCUGGUUUAAAUUGAAGCUCAGGCUGUAGUCAUGAUGUUUUCUGCUCUGAUUUCACCUACACAAGUCAUUAAAGAAAUUGUGAAAAAGAAGAAUUUUAAAUUACAUUUUUUUCCUUAACUAUUAAAACAAAUGAACGCCGAUGUCUGCUAGGCUCAUGGUUGAAUGUGGAAGAGUAUUUAAGUCUCCGCUGCUGCUAAAUAGGGCUUGAUGAUUGGGGUGAGUAUCAGAAACUCUAAAGGGUACUUAAUGUUGAGACAAACUAGAAGAAAACACUCUGUAUAACCAUCUUUAUAUUGAAGAGAAGGGGGAAAAAGUAUAUGAAAUUUGAUAAAUAAUAAAAAGUUGAAGAAAUUAGAUAAAACACGAAACAAAUAUCAAAUUCAAUAAGGGCUAAUCAAAUUCCGUAAGGAUAUAGUUGAAUGCUGCACUGUUCCUUAUCCUCAAAUUCCCUUAGCUUUUGUCUCAGCUCUGGCUGAGGCCACCAGCAAUCGAACUUGUUUAAGCUCUUUACGCACCAGAGCUGUUCAUGCAUUUUUUUCAAGUAAGGACAAGGGUUGAUAAUCAAGCAUUCUAGUUUUGGCAUGGCUCCAAUCCCCAUAGUCCACUCCUCUAGGCAUAGCAUUGAUUUCAGGUGCAAUACCUUGAGAUUUGGAAAACCAUGGGAGCCACAAGUUAGCUUCCUACCUGAAUAUGAAUUUUGCUUCAGUUUGAGCACUUGAAGAAGUGGCAGCUUUUCUAGUGCGGGCAUGGGAUCCUCCAUAAGUUCAGUAUUAGAUAAACUCAAGUGGGUUAGUGUUGGAGGAAAAUGGGAUUCAACAAGGACAAUUUUAGAGAAAGCUGGCAUCUUGCUUUCGUUCACCAACUUCAAUGAUUCGAGGCAGCUUAAUCUGCAAAGACUACCCAUGUGAGCCAACUACCCAUGUUGCGAAGAUGAGCGACUUUUAAGAGGAAUAAAACUGUCUGCCUCUUGAGGGGUAUUUAAGAAAACAGUGUACACCAGAAGAAGGAAUGAAAAAAGAAAAUUAAUCUUCCAUCGUAGAGAAGGAGAGAAAAUUUAUAUUAUUUCAUCUUUUUUUCUUAUUCUGCUUUAGUUAUUUCCUUUAUAGUCAACUAUCUAAUUUACUCCAAAUCUAACUUAAGCAUCAAAGGGUUCUCGCCAGAUCCCCCACAGGCGAGUUGUGACCGGUUUCUGUAGCUUUCAAGUUGCAGAUUUAAAGUCCAUAUCAACAUUCAAAUUUUGUUCGUACUAGUUUUCCACCAAAAACAAAUUCAGCUGUUGAAGUCCUUUUUCAGCAUCAACAUCUUGGACAUUCUUAAGAUAGCAAAAUCAAUAAACUCAACAUUAUGUUACUGGCUAAAGAGUGAAGAAACCAUAAGAAUCCAAUGACAACCAAAGCAGAAGGAUCAAUUUUAAUACAAAAGGGAAUUCCUCUGCUGCAAACGAGGGCUUUGAUGUGAUUGUAAAGAAUUGAGAGUGAGCAGCAGUACAUCCUCUCGCCAUCAACUUCAUUGCACUGCAUUACAAGGCAAAUGUGAAAACGAUCACAACUGCUCUUUAUUCUCUUAGUGCAAUUGGGCUGCUAAUCAACCAAUAGAGAAAGAACUAAAUUUUAAAUAUUAAAUCUUAAAUCUUUAUUCGCUACAACUAAAUUUUAAAUCUUCCACUUUCAGAACUUUACUCGUUAAAUCUCCUCUUCAAUUCUACCUAGUCCUUACUGGAUCCUUAAAGUCACCAAGGAUUAGUGAUGGUUUUUUAUUUUACGAGGGCUGUUGGACAACCCAGAUUGACAAGGGCUAAAAUCUCCAUAUAUUUGGAGGCUAUGAAGAUUAGACAAUAUGCCCCAGUUUCUUUUUGUUGUGUUUAAUCCUCUGUUAGUACCAAGAUCACACACUUAAGACCCUCUUUGACGUAUCAAGAAUCAUUCCCAGAAAACCAAACUCAAAAUUGAAUCAAAGUGCCUACAUCCACUGAAGAACAAGGACCAUUUCACAAUCAUUCCAAGAAUAUAAAACUUUUUCUCUUUAAGUCUCUCUCUUUCUAUGGCUUUGAUGAGACAUGUGAAGAUGACCCAACAACCAUUUCACAAUCAGUUUUAAGAUGAUGAGAUGUGAUCACAGCACAAACAUUUUUCGUCUAACUGAAGUAAUGAGAUUGAACUGUACCACUAUUCAAAAACUAGAAAAAAGAUAAAAUAAAAUAAAAAACAAUAACAUAUAUGCAACUUGAAUGUUGACAAAUUGAAUACACACCGGUGAAUGUGAAAUAGAAAGUAAAACAAUUAAUCAAACUUUUGUACAAAAUAUUAAUCCGAAUAUGACAUAAUCCUUGAAAACAAAGAAACCAAACAAUUUCAGUGAAGACUGGAUUCUUAUUGAAAUUGAAACUUUGGCUGCAGUACAGUUAAGAUAUUUUCCGCUUUGCUUUGACCUACACAUUCAAGUAAUUGAAUAUCUUAUUUUUCAGUUUUUCUUGAUUAUUUCAACAACCAAUACAUAAGGGUUCUACCUCUUCUAUAAAUAAGGGAUUAAUGAUUAGUGUCAGUAUCAGGGAAUAUAAUGGACACUUCCAAGUCUUUGUUGUGAAAAAAAUUAGAAGCAACCACAAUUAGAAUGUAGAAAACACUUUAUGGUAUCAUUAUUAUUUAGGCUGCUACGUACUAUCAAAUCAAUCAUAGAGACUAGAUGUUUACGUGAAAUUAGAUAAAUAAUUAGAGGUUGAAGUUAUUGGAUAAAAAGGAAAAAAACUUACAUCAAAUUCGAUCCAUGCUAAUCAAAUUCCAUAUGGGUAUAGCUGAAUGCCAUACUGCUCCUUAUCCUCGAAUUCCCAUAGCUGUUGUCUCAGCUUGGGCUCAGGCCACCACAACUCCAAUUUGUUUAAGCUCUUUAGGCACCAAAGCUGUUCAGGAAUCCUUUUCAAGUGAGCACAAGGGUUGAUGAUCACGCAUUCUAGUUUCGGCAUGGCUUUAAUCCCCAUAGUCCAUUCCUCUAACCAUAGCAUAGAUUUAAGGUGCAGCACCUUGAGUUUUGGAAAGCCAUCAGAGCUACAAGCCAGCUUUCUACCUAAAUACUUCAGUUUGAGCACCUGAAGAACCGGCAGCUUUUCUAGUGCCGGCAUGGGAUCAUCAAUUAGCUCAAUAUUCGAAAAACUCAAGUGGGUUAGACUUGGAGGAAAUUGGUAUUCAGCAAGGAUGGUAUUGGAUCGCCGUGGCAUCUUGCUUUCAUUCGCCAACUUCAAUGACUCGAGGCAGCUCAAUCUACAGAGACUUUUGGACAACAAAGAUUGAUAAUAACUUAAAUCUCCCCAUAUCCGGAGAUUUUGAAGAUUAGGUAGUCUGCCCAAUAUCUCUUCAGUAGAGCAGCAAGGAUGCAAGGCUAAAAUGAAAUUGAGAUUUUAUAGAGAGCCACAAUAUUUUCCUGGAUGUGCAGGAAGUGUGAUCGCUCCAAAAUUUAGAUACCUCAGUUUGCUCAUCUUCCAAAAUUCAUCUGCUGUAUGAUCUAUGUAGCUAAAGGGCAUCUCUAGGGUGUACAGGUUCAAAAGACUGCUUAAGAACGAUGAAGGCAGGCUUUUGAGGGAGGGGAUAAUACUCUGAGAAAUUUGAACAUUUUACAGAUUUUCUUGCAAUAAGUGGGGUCAAGGUAUUGGCUUCCUGAAGUGAGGUACAACAAAGAAUGGAGGAACGAGUCAAAAUCAUCUAAAAAUGUAAAAUGAUUCAAUUUUCCGUGAGCGGUGAAGCGUUUCACAUUUUCCCGUAAUCUAACUUCCUGAUCCAUGAUUGGGGAAAUGAUAAAUUCCCCCUUGAAAGCCACAGUCAACAAUGCAGGACUGCAACUCCCAGGAAUAGAGCUUGUGUUGAUUCUGCUUAUAUCACUUCUCUUCCCUGCAUCAACAAAGGCUCCAUUGAUUAGUUGUUCCAAGUACUUCUCAGUAAUUGCCUCGUUGUUGUCUGGAAUGAAACCUUCAGCUAUCCACAACUGAUAUAAUUGCUUGGUUCAUAUCUCAAAGUGUACGCGAAACACAGAUAAGUAGAGACAACAAAGUUUCAAGUAAAAAGGUAACAUACAAUAUGCAACGACUUGAAGCCCUCGGGGUUCAUCAAGUGCUUCCUCUAUAUUUUCUUUCAGUGAGAUGCUUCCAUGAUAUAAGAUGUGGAAAGGCCAUCCUUGGUAUGUAACUCUCAAUGGUCCUCCAGUGGGCACAAAAUCAAGCCCAAUGUUCUCUCCAUUUUCGAACUGAAAUGAGGUGACGAUCUCAAUUUGACUGAGUGUUAUCAAUACUCUACUUCCAAUCUGAUUAUCGGGAAGUAUUCUCGAAUAACAUCCCAUACUGAUAUUCUCCACACAUUAUCAAGCACAAUCAAAUACCGCUUGGUCAUUACAUAUUCAUGAAGAAUAAUUUUUUUCAUUUCCGAACUUUCUUUCAUAAUUUCACUUAACCUACGUGAAGGCAUCACAAACUUAAUAAUGUCGUAUAAUAUUUGGUCAGCAUCAUAUAGUAAAGACUCUUCAACCCAAGCGUGACAAUCAAAAUAAUGCUUCACAUAGUUGCUGCUGUAAGCCUCUGCGGCGAAAGCCGUCUUGUCCAAUCCAAUGCUAUCAAGUACGGCCACUACCGAAAGUUGAGGCGGUCCCUCUAUCAAUAGAUCUAAUAACUCCUCCAUUCUAUUAUCUAGACCCACCGUGUCCCUAUCCUUAAAAGAUGAGGAUGCAGGAAAAUUACCGGCUUUUGCUUCAAUCGAUUUGAGCCCAUCAAUGAUUCCGGAGUGGAUGUGCUGAACUUGCUGCAUCCGUUGUUUUAUAUCAAUGAUNNNNAUUUUGUCAAUGAUAGCCUUAAAAUCUUCUAAUUCUGCAAGAGUUUGACCCUCUUUUGCAUUGACUUGCCACAUAAACCAAGCAGUGUUGUAUCCACAGUCCCUCAGCCAAGAAGCAAUGAUUUCAGUCUCAGUGUAAAGGUUCUGAAUAGGUUGUUUAGCAGCAUCGGGCACUGUGAAUUCUUCACCAGCUGGCACCCUUCUCAGUCUCUCUGAAAAUAGUCCAAGGUUGAUGUCCAUAUCUCCUUCACUCUCAGUAGUCAGUAGCCAGCAGCUCUAGCAUGCAAAGAAAAUAAUUAUAAAAAAAAAAGUUAAAAGCUCUCCUUUUACUUCAACAUUAGUCAACAUAAUCAACUGAGGAUGGCACCAAUACCUCAUUCUAUUAAGAAGUUGAAUCAAGUUCAGGUGGUUGUCAAAGUAGAAUAGAUCAAGGCAGAGCAGUACUGGAAAAUGAAUCUUAAAACUAAAUGCUGCAGGUGCCGUGGGGAUACUGAUUGAUAAGAGGAAUUAUAUUGAGAAAUUAUUGAUGUACAAUAAUGAUUUUCUGCACAAAAUCUGAGGUAUAAUGUAUGUGUACAUAAAAUAUUCUUUAUGCAAGAAGAUAAAAGGGUGUCUUAUAAUUUGUGUUUUAUAUAUAUGUGUAUGAAGAAAGUAAAAUAGGCUAUCAAGACUAGUUUCUUUUUUGCCCUAUCAAAAGACUGAAAGAUUAAAAAUAAUUCCACUGGGACCAUAAAACUUGUCUAGAGAGAAAAAGCAUCACCUUAGAAUCUGAUUCAUGUUAAGAAAUUGAGUUUUCUCCCAAGAUCACUACAAAUAAUUUGUCAAGAAAUAAAUUAACAGAAAAAAUUAAACGGAGAAUACAUCAGUCACACAUCACAAGAUUUACAUGGAAAACUCUAAAUCCGGAAGAAAACCACGGCUGUUGUCAAAAGACAACCAGAGAAAAAAAUAUUCAUUAUGUAGAAAAUUAUUACAACCACACUCUCAGAAAUAAUUUCUCUCACCCAAGCCCCAAAUACAUGAUCCCGAAAAAUAUUCUUUAACAAAACAAACCCGUAAUACCCAUAUUGAGGAGCCAAAUACUCCUAUUGAAUGCUCUUAAUUGGAUACAAAAGUGAGGAGGAGAACCCUCCUAUUUAUAGGCAAAAACUUGCAUAAUUAUGCCCACCAAUUUUGAUCAAAAUUGGUGGCUUAGCCAUCAAAUUUGAUGAACAAAUUUUGGUCAACAAAUUUGGUGGUUAAGCCACCAAAUUUGAAGCCACCUUUCUUUUUUUUAAAUCAAUUUUCAACAAUUCAUUGAUGCAUCUAAUGCAUAAUAGUUGCUAUUGUUAGAGAUUUUCUUUUCAAGCGCUCUACAGACUACAACAGAAUACGUUAUAGUUUGAAUCGUUAGAUGAUCAUUCCAAUAGGGCUAAAGGUGUUCAUGGAUUAGAUUCAGAUAUAUAUGAUUCCAUCUGAUUUGGAUUUGGAUGUUGCCAUAUAUAUCCGAUUGGAUAAAAUUUGUGCAUCUGAUGGAUUGGAUCCACUUUAAUUUAAACAAUUUGAUUGGGAUUGCACUACUAUAUAUAUAUAUAGGAAAAUGCUUAACGUCGGGAAGGCUGAGAGAACCCUGAGAGAAACGGCAGCUUGUGCUACCGUUUCCCGCAUGUUCUCUUAGCCCCACCCCCACUUUACUUUAAGCAUUUCCUCUUUUGUUUUUUAUAUUAUUUUAUCUCUCUUUUAUUUUUUUCUUCUUUUAUCUUCUUCUUCUUCUCUUUUUUCUUUCUCUCUCUUUUGCAAUUUCUUCGUUACUUAUCUCCAUCAUCAAUUUCAUCUUCUUCAUCAACAACAUCAUCAUCACAAUUAUCUUUAAAAUUCUAGUUAUACAAUCCAAGAGGGGGGUGAAUUGGAAUUCUAAAAAUUAUUCAAUUUAUAAAGAAAAACUUAAUGCAAAUAUAAACCAAAUUCAAAGUAAUAACAAAUAAGUUGAUCACAAUAUAAAAAGAUAAGGGAAGAGAGAUUCAAACACAGAGAUUUUUACGUGGUUCGACCAACCUCGCCUACGUCCACGCCUCCAAGCUUUCCGGGCUUGAGGAUUCCACUAAGCAAGCAUCCAAGGCUUCAAAUGCUUACACUUGACUUCCAACAUGUCAAUAACCUUUACAACAAGAGAUUAUCCCAAUCUCUUUAAUCCAAGUGUAUCCCAACACUUACAAUCACUCAAAAUAAAAGAUUACAAAUUUGUUUUGCCUCUCACAAUAUUUAAGAUUACAAAAUGAUGCCCAAUAUGUGAAUAGAUGAAGCAAGAAUGUGUUCAAAGCUCUAUGAAGAUUGUAUUCUCGAGUAUAAGCUCAAUAGUCGUGUUGUGAUCAGAUUUGUUUGAAUUUGAAUGAGCUUAUUUAUAGUUGGAGCUGAAAAAACUAGCCGUUACAAACUGUCUGCCCGAAAACGGUUCGCCGUUAAGCAUUAACGGUUAACCGUUUAGGCUGGUCAAAAGUUACCGUUGGGCCAAAUUUCAAAUAAAUGGUUUGCCAUUUAGGAUUACUCUUUCGCCGUUAAAUUUCAGAGACCUGCAAGAUAAACACCAGUUAUCCGUUUACAUUAAACGGUUAAGGAUUUGCAUGAAGUGACUUCUCUGGAUAUUAUCGGUUAACCGUUUGUAAUAAACGGUUCGCCGUUUGUUUUCAGUUACCUGCAAAAUAAUUUAGCCUUAUCCGGUUUUAUUAAACGGUGCCAGAAGAGUGCAACCUUCAAUUCUGGAUUUUAUCGGUUAACCGUUUAAAUAAACGGUUCACCGUUAAAUUUCAAUAGCCUUCCCAGCUUUUUGUGUUUUCCGUUUUUCUUAAUCGGUUAGAGCUUAGGCAAUAUGUUGCUCUCUGGUUUUAAUCGGUUAACCGUUUGAAAGAAAACGGUUCACCGUUUAUUUCCAGAAUCACAUUUUAAACCAGAUUUUGCAGAGAAUCAUUUUCUAAUUUGAAAGACCAUCUUUUAUGAAUAUGAUUAGAAUGAUUAUAAGGCUUUCGUUUAUUAAGGAAUAGCUUCAACAUUUUAAUAAAAAAUCAUUUAAAGUUUGUUAUCAUCAAAAUCAAUAUUAUUAACAUAUUCAUGUUAACAAUCUCCCCCUUUUUGAUGAUGACAAACUUUAUUCAAUAUUUUGCUCCCCCUUAAUAUAUGCUCCCCCUAAAUGUAUGGCCAAAUUAAGAAAUGUCCAAUAAAAAGACUUUUGCUCGAGAAAAUAUUUUUAAAUUCAUUUUAAAUCUCCUCAUAAUUAUCUCCCCCUUCAUCAUCAAAAAGAAAAGAGAGAAAGGAAAAUCGCAAAUCCGUUAAAGAAGUUACCCGAUUUUGGCGAGUGAAAAUUUUGGCAGAGUUUCCCCUUAAAAUGGAUCAAAACCACUAAUACAAAAUGAGAUUAAAACACUUACAAAAUAUAUUAACAACAACUCCAUCAUUCAACAAACCAACAACGCCAUGAACAAACAAACCAACAACUCCAUUAACCAAUAAACCAACAAUUUCAUCAACCAAUAUCAAGUCAUCCAACAUCAAGAACAUCAUAAAAACAUGUCAUCAAAAUCCAUAAAGAGCAUAUAGAGGUAGCAAUGUAUAUAAAAAUAUAAAUGGCAACACGCAAACAACCAAAAUAUGAAAUGUAUGUGCGAAAAUAGAAUUCAGAAACUAUGGAGGUGGAGAAGAUGUGCUCCCCGGAUCAUAGCCAAAAUAGUGGAGAAGAGUGUGCUGUCCAGCGAUAAGCUCAUGCUACUGAUCAAUGCUCUGCUACUGGAAGGUCUGAAAGUCAGAACGUAACUGCUGGUGGUCACGGGAAAAAGUGUCCAACCGAUCAAGAAUCAGCUGCUGGCGCUCCGAAAUUCGGUGAACAUCAGCAAUCAACUGCUGCACAACAUCUGAAGCAUGGGGCUGAACUAGAGCUGGAGGUGGUUCAGAGGCAGAUGGGUGCUCAGGAACAUCAGAUGGCUCAGGAGCAGGAGGCUGCUUGGGAGCUAGAGGCGGCUCGGAAGAGGAGGGAAUAUCAGCACCCAUCGCACGCUCCUCAGAGUCAGAGUCAGCUGAAGGCCAAGGGACAAAACGGCGAUGAGGAGGAUGAGGAUGAGCUCCUAAUCUAAAAUCUGGAAGCUUAUUGGGAGGAUAGACAUCGUUGAGCAUCCGAUCGUCCUCUGGAGCAAUCAAGGUAUCCCGGUUUUUGGAGUUGUUUGUCUUUAUCCACUCACCAUUCUUCCUAGUAAAACCGAUACUAGUCAUGGCCUCAGGACCAAUCCCUCUAGUCUCCAUAUAAGUGGUAUCAAGAAGAGGCACCUCAAAGCGUCGUAGUAUCUUAGUAAUGAUACUGCCAUAUGGAAGCAAGUGGUGGUUAACUGCGGGAGUACUCAACAUGUGCCGCACAAUAACAUAGCCGAGGUUAAUGGGACGGCUUGAAAUGAGACUAUCUAAUAGGCCAACGUCCAACCUCGUAACCUCAUCCGAGUGAACCUUCCUAGGUGUCACUAUGUGCUGUAAAAUAGUGUGAAGAAUGCGAACUUGGAGAGGUAAAAGUUGAGACCGAAAAGGUAGAAGACAGAUCUCAUCAGACAAGUCUCGACGACGACAAAUAUUACGGACUCCAUCAGUAUGAUAAAAACUGUAAAAAAAAAGGGCUUUCCUAGAGGUGUAAAUAUCAUGACCCUCACUAGAGAUACCAAGAAAGUCAGCUAGGUCCGCAUCAUCAAAUUCAAUAGGCACAUCGCCGACUUGAGUAACUAUCCUAUUUAGGCGAGUUGCGAAGAUUUCCAUGUUCGAAUAAAAGACUCGUACUAAGUUGGGAUAAACUCGGUCAUCAAAGUCAAUGGCAGACUCCCAAGGCUGAAGCAUAUCCCUAAUACUUCUACCACAUACAACUAAGGUACUGAAAUCAUCUAUUUCAACAUAAGAAGAGUCAAGUACCUUUCGACCAUUGAAGCGAUUCUCGAACCGCUUGGCCAAGGAAGGCAUGGGGAAAUGAAUUAUUGCGAAUUCAGAGACUUCCCGUAGUGGUAUAGGGUUCCUUGGAGGCACAGAUUUUCGCCUGAGAUUUCUCCGAGGGGGUGCAGCCAUGGUGAAGCACAAAGGAGUUUGAAAAUUACUGGAGAGAUGUGAUGAGAAGAAGAUGAAUCGAUUAUUUGCUUAGGAAUGAGUAAAUGAUGUGAUUUUGAUGCUUAAUUUGGCUGAAGAAGGGGAAGAAUCGGGUUAAAAAGGAAGAAACCCGAGCGGCCGCAGUUAGGGUUUAGAUUUGGGAUUUUUCAAUUUUGGGCUUGAUUUGAGGAUUUGAAUCGGUGAAAGUGUUCUAAAGGUGAUAAGAAAUGAUGUUAUAGGUUUGAUUUGACAAGAAAAACAAGAAAAAUGAAGGUUUGAGGGGAGAGGAGGAUUCGGCUGUGCAACAAUGGCCGAAACGGUGAAGGGGCAACUGGAGAAGGAGAAGAAAAAACCUUUGAACAGUUUUAUAAUCACGAAAAUGGUUAACCGUUUAUUUAAACGGUUAAGGGGUAACUUCCAGAGGCUAAAGAAUGGGAAACGGUUAAAGGUUAAACUCUUAACGGCUGAGGAGUAACUGCUAGCGAGCUCUCUGAUUUUAAACGGUUUACCGAUUGCAACAAACGGUAAAAGGGUUAAAAGGCAGUCAACUUAAUCGAGUUUUUGGAAUAAAAUGGUACACCGUUUAUUGGAAACGGUUAGCCGUUUAUUUUAUCAAUAAUUUCGCACAUUUGAUUUAAUUUUUUGCCAGCAAAUAAUACAUUCCAAGAUCAUUUAAUUGAUCUAAAAAUGUUUCAUGAGCCAUUUUAAUGCAUGAUUCAUGAACAUGUAUUGAAGCAAUUAAUUCAUAUAAUCAAUCAAGAAUUAACAAAGCAAGCACAUCAUUUGAAUAUCAAGCUUAAGCAUUUAAAUCAUCAAUUCACCAAGAAGUCAAUCAAUUCAAUACACUCAGUAGCAUGAAUAGUAACGUUAAUGUGAAAAUUUCAUCAUUCCAAGUUCAUGCUGAAUCUUUGAAAAUUGUUCUUCACCAAGAGGUUUGGUAAAAAUAUCCCCCUUUUGAACAUGAUCUCUCAAGAAAUGAUGUCUUAUUUCUAUAUGCUUGGUUCGAGAGUGUUGAAUAAGAUUCUUUGAAAGAUUUAUAGCAUUAGUAUUAUCACACUUAAUAGGAAUUUGUUCUAGGUUAAUACCAUAGUCUCUAAGUGUUUGUUUCAUUCAAAGAGCUUAUGCACAAUAACUUCCUGCAGCUAUAUAUUCGGCCUCUGUAGUUGAGAGUACAACAGAAUUUUGUUUCUUGCUAAACCAUGAAACAAGUGAGUGACCUAGGAUAUAGCAUGUUCCACUAGUGCUUUUCCUAUCAACGUUAUAACUGGCAAAAUCCGCAUCCGAAUAACAUGUUAAAUCUAUAUGAGUUCCCCUAGGAUACCAAAGGCCAAUAUCUACGGUUCCACUCAAAUAACGGAAAAUUCUUUUAAUAGCAAGCAAAUGAGAUUCCUUGGGACAAGAUUGAAAUCUUGCGUACAAGCAUACACUAAACAUGAUAUCGGGUCUACUUGCAGUUAAAUAAAGUAAAAAUCCGAUCAUACCUCGAUAUAUUUUUAUAUCUACUUCCUUGCCUUUUUCAUCUUUGUCAAGUUUGGUUAUUGUGCUCAUUGGAGUGUUUUUGGUCUUUGAGUCAUCAAUGCUGAAUCUUUUGAGUAGAUCUUUUACAUACUUGGCUUGAUUUAUGAAAAUUCCUUUCUCAUUUUGUUUUAUUUGCAGCCCAAGGAAGUACUUCAACUCUCCCAUUAUACUCAUUUCAAAUUCAUUACUCAUGUAAGAUGAAAAUUCUUUACACAACAAUUCAUUAUUAGAACCAAAAAUAAUAUCAUCAACAUAAAUUUGAACAACAAGUAUGUCUUUUUCCUUAUGUUUGACAAAUAAAAUAGUAUCCGCUUUACCCAUUGAAAAAUCAUUUUCUAAUAAGAAAUUCUUAAGUCUAUCAUACCAUGCUCUAGGUGCUUGUUUUAAGCCAUACAAAGCUUUAAAUUACUUAUAAACAUGAUUUGAAAAUCUUUCAUUUUCAAAACCAGGGGGUUGUUUUACAUACACUUCUUCCAUUAUAAAACCAUUCAAAAAGGCACUUGUCACAUCCAUUUAAAAUAAAAUAAAAUCUUUAUGACAUGCAAAUGCCAACAAUAUUCUAAUUGAUUCUAGUCUAGCUACGGGUGCAAAUAUUUCAUCAAAAUCAAUUCCUUCUUCUUGGUUGUAACCUUGAGCCACUAAUCUAUCUUUAUUCCUUACAACCACACUGGAUUCAUCCAUCUUAUUUCUAAAUAUCCAUUUAGUACCUAUGACGGAUUGAUGUUCCGGUUUAGGAACUAAUUCCCAUACAUUGUUUCUUUCAAAUUGAUUUAACUCCUCUUGCAUUGCCAUAAUCCAAGAUCAUCAUUUUCCGCAUCCGCAAAGGAUUUGGGUUCAAUUUGAGAAAUAAAUGCAUUAUGCUCACAAGUAUUUCUAAGAGAUGAUCUAGUUGUAACACCUCGUGAGGGAUCUCCUAAAAUUACAUCCUUAGGGUGAGAAGAAACAUACCUCCACUCCUUGGGAAGUGAUUGAGAUGCACUUUCAUUGUGUUCUACAUUCAUUUCUUCAUGUUGCUCAUCUUGAUUCCCAUGAGACGUAUCCUUUUGGUUAUCUUUUGAUGAUUCUUUUUUUAAGUCUUCAUCUACAUCAUUAUCAACAACAACUUUCUCCGUAGAUGAGGGGUUAGACUCAUCAAAAGUAACAUGCAUAGAUUCUUCUACAACUAAUGUAUUUUUGUUAUAAACUCUAUAAGCUUUGCUUGAGUUUGAAUAUCCAAGAAAAAUACCAACAUUAGAUUUUGGAUCAAAUUUGCCAAGAUUGUCUUUUGUGUUCAAAAUAAAACAUUUGCAUCCAAACACUUUGAAAUAACCAAUGUUGGGUUUUCUAUGUUUCUAAAGCUCAUAUGGAGUUUUGUUAAGGUUAAGUCUAAUCAACACACGAUUUAAAACAUAACAAGCGGUGUUGACGGCCUCGGCCCAAAAAUACUUAGGCAAUGAAUUUUCAUUCAACAUAGUCCUAGCCAUUUCUUGAAUGGAUCUAUUCUUUCUCUCAACAACUCCAUUUUGUUGUGGAGUUCUAGGUGAUAAAAAUUGAUGCUCAAUGCCAAAAUCAUUACAAAAAAUCUCAAAUGCAUGAUUUUCAAACUCUCCUCCAUGAUCACUCCUAAUGCAUGCAAUACCAUACCCUUUUUCAUUUUGUAUUUUCUUACAAAGCACUUUAAAGGUAUCAAGAGCAUCAUCUUUAUUGGCUAAGAAUAAUACCCAUGUAUAUCUAGAAUAAUCAUCCACUAUCACAAAUGCAUAAUAUUUGUAAUUUAAACUAGCAUAUCUAGAGGGUCCAAAUAAAUCUAUGUGAAGAAGUUGAAGUGGUUUUGAAGUAGAAAUACGAUUUUUAUUUUUGAAAGAUGUUUUGAUUUGUUUUUCAAAUUGACAAGCUUCACAAAUCUUAUCUUUUUGAAAACCAAUUUUUGAAAGACCUUUAACUAAAUCAUUUUUCAAAAUUUUUGAAAUCAAAUCCAUACUUGCAUUUCCUAACCUUCUCUGCCAUAACCAACUAUCAUCAUGCAAUGCCGAAAAACAUUUAUCAAGAGUAGAUGCACAUUCUAUGUCAAUGAUAUAAACAUUACCACAUCUAUUCCCACUUUUCAGUCAUGUGCCUUGAACAACCAUUGUCCAAGUAUCAUUUAUUUUUCUUCUUCUUUAAGCCCUACAAGAAAAAUCUCAAGUUUUAGGUACCCAAAGCUUUUUUGGUCCUUGAGAGUUAGCAACGGUUCCUUUUGGAACCCAAAUACAUUUGACACCAUAAUAUGCAUUCCUUUUCACGGGACAUCUAUAUUUCAUGUGACCAUUUUGAUUACAAUAAUGGCAAACAAUCUUAUGAUCACGUGUGGAGGUAGCUUUAACAAAAUAAUUCUUAUAAUACUUUUGCUUCAAGUUAGGCUUAUACCCAAGUCCUCCUUUAUCAAAAACACAUUUUUGUGAGUUAAGCAUAUUAUCCAACAUCUUUUGCCCAUUUGUAAAUUUCAAAACAAUUUCAUUCAAUUCAUUACUCUUUUUCUUGAGCAUUUCGUUCUCAUUUUUCAACUCAUCUAUGUGUGAUUCUAAAUGCUCAUGUGAGAUGCUAGGUUUCUCAUUUGAUAAUGCAAUUUCAUCAUGCAAUGUUUUGUUCUCUAUUUCUAGGCAUGCAAUUCUUGCAUUUAGAGAUUCAUUUUCAUUUUUAAGCUUUGCCAUUUCCUUUUUAAGACAUACAUUCUUUUUACCAAUCUUCAUCAACUCAUUAUGCAAUUCUUUAAAAGCAUCAUACAAUUCAUCAUUGGUGGGAUCACUUACCUCAUUGAGAUCAUCAUCCCCUCUUAUUGCCAUAAGCACUAGGUUUGAUACUUCUUGCAAUCCUUCUUCAUCACUUGAAUCUUCCUCGCUAUCAUCCCAAGUUGCAACCAAUGCUUUCUUCUUGAGUUUUUUGAUAAGUGGGCACUCCGAUCUUAUAUGGCCAUGCUUCUUGCAUUAAUAGCAUGUGAUUACCUCUUUCUUCUCCCUUUGGUUCUUGAAGUUUCUGAAAUUUCUUCGCUCUACGGUUUUCUUGAAGAAUUUUCUGAACCUGCUUGCUAGCAUGGCUAGCUCUUCAUCAUCCGGUUCACUCUCCCCAUCACUCUCAUAUUUUGAAGAUUUGAGAGUAAUGCUUUUCUUCUUCUCCUCAUGCCCUUUUUCUGCUGCCAAAUCUUCUUCAUAUGAAAUGAGAGAACCAAUUAAAUCAUCGAGGGCUAAAGUAUUUAAAUCUUUGGCCUCUUCAAUAGCGGUUCUUUUUGGUCUCCAUUCUUUUGGAAGUGACCUAAUGAUUUUCUUAACUUUUUUGCUAUUUGAGAAGGUCUUUCCUAAGGCUCUUAGGGUGUUUACUAUGUCCGUAAAUCUCGUAUACACAGAGUACACACUCUCAUUUUAUUCCAUUUGGAAUAACUCAUGUUGUCGAGUGUACCUACUAAUUUUUGACUCUUUCACUUGAUUUGUGCUUCAAGUUUGUGCUAAAUUUCAUUGGCACUUUCACAACUAGAUACUCGAUGAAAUUCUUUUUUAUCAAGUGCACAAAAUAAAGCAUUCAUAGCUUUGGAAUUUAGAGAAGCUUUUCUCUUUUCCAAUUCAUUCCAUUCCGUUGAAGGUUUUGGAAUAUCUUCCCCGAAUUCAUUUUUAGUUAGGGGCAAAAACAGACCAUCGCGUACAACUUCCCAAAUUUCAUAAUCUAAAGCUUGCAAAUAGAUUCUCAUUCUAGUUUUCCAAUAUGCAUAGUCAUUACCGUCAAAGAACGGUGGUCUAGUUGUGGAUUGCCCUUCUCUAAAGGUUGAGUCAUUUAGGGUUGCCAUAGAUCUUUUACUCUAGACGAUUAAGUCCUAAUAAGAGAACAAGGCUCUGAUACCAAAUGAAAUUCUAGUUAUACAACCCAAGAGGGGGGGGUGAAUUGGAAUUCUAAAAAUUAUUCAAUUUAUAAAGAAAAACUUAAUGCAAAUAUAAACCAAAUUCAAAGCAAUAACAAAGAAGUUGAUCACAAUAUAAAAAGAUAAGGGAAGAGAGAUUCAAACACAGAGAUUUUUACGUGGUUCGACCAACCUCGCCUACGUCCACGCCUCCAAGCUUUCCGGGCUUGAGGAUUCCACUAAGCAAGCAUCCAAGGCUUCAAAUGCUUACACUUGACUUCCAACAUGUCAAUAACCUUUACAACAAGAGAUUAUCCCAAUCUCUUUAAUCCAAGUGUAUCCCAACACUUACAAUCACUCAAAAUAAAAGAUUACAAAUUUGUUUUGCCUCUCACAAUAUUUAAGAUUACAAAAUGAUGCCCAAUAUGUGAAUAGAUGAAGCAAGAAUGUGGUCAAAGCUCUAUGAAGAUUGUAUUCUCUAGUAUAAGCUCAAUAGUCGUGUUGUGAUCAGAUUUGUUUGAAUUUGAAUGAGCUUAUUUAUAGUUGGAGCUGAAAAAACUAGCCGUUACAAACUGUUUGCCCGAAAACAGUUCGCCGUUAACCAUUAACGGUUAACCAUUUAGGCUGGUCAAAAGUUACCGUUGGGCCAAAUUUCAAAUAAACGGUUUGCCGUUUAGGAUUACCCUUUCGCUGUUAAAUUCCAGAGACCUGCAAGAUGAACAUCAGUUAUCCGUUUACAUUAAACGGUUAAGGAUUUGCAUGAAGUGACCUCUCUGGAUAUUAUCGGUUAACCGUUUGUAAUAAACGGUUCGCCGUUUGUUUCCAGUAACCUGCAAAACAAUUUAGCCUUAUCCGGUUUUGUUAAAUGGUGCCAGAAGAGUAUAACCUUCAAUUCUGGAUUUUAUCGUUUAACCGUUUAAAUAAACGGUUCAUCGUUAAAUUCCAGUAGCCUUCCCAGCUUUUUGUGUUUUCCAUUUUUCUUAAUCGGUUAGAGCUUAGGCAAUAUGUUGCUCUAUGUUUUUAAUCGAUUAACCAUUUGAAAGAAAACGGUUCACCGUUUAUUUCCAGAAUCACAUUUUAAACCAGAUUUUGCAGAGAAUCAUUUUUUAAUUUGAAAGACCAUCUUUUAUGAAUAUGAUUGGAAUGAUUAUAAGGCUUUCGUUUAUUAAGGGAUAGCUCCAACAUUUUAAUAAAAAACCAUUUAAAGUUUGUUAUCAUCAAAAUCAAUAUUAUUAACAUAUUCAUGUUAACAAUCUUCUUUUUCCUCCUGUUAGUUUUGUUUCUUCUUCUCCAUCAACAUCAAAAUUUGGUUUCAUCUUCUUGUAUAAUUAAAAGGCAAGCACCCCUUUGACUUGGAAUCAAAAAAUCGAAAUCAAUACAGGUGUUGUUCUUCAUUUUUUUGGGUUUUUUAGAACAAAAAAUAGGGGAAAUACACUUGGAAUAAUGGAGAGACCGGACGAAGUGACGAACCGGACUGGUGGUGUCUGUCGUGAUGAGCUGAAGAGAAAGAGGUGGUUGUCGGUAACGAUGCCAUUGAUGAGAGAGAGUGCCGAUGAAAUUGAGGGAAGGGAGAAGAUACAGUAGUUUCUGGUGCUGGAGAGAUGAGUUGACUGCAACAAAAGGCUGACUGCAGCAAAUGUUAUGUUAAAAAGAAAAGAGAAAGUAACGUGGGAGGUGGGGCCAAGAGAACACGCGCGAAGCGGCAGCACAAGCUGUCGUUUCUCUUAGGGUUCUCUCAGCUUUCCCGACGUUUAGCACUACUCGUAUACUGCUGUACGGCCAAGGCGGAUGUACGGUACAGCAGCCCUUUCAAAUUUUUGUCUGAAAUAUUUAUCAGAUCCGAUUUAUUUUAAAUCCGAUCGAUUGUAUUUGAGAUUCAGGUUGGAUUCGAAUGAUUUUUUUUCCUAAUCCAAACAAUUCAAAAUCCAAUCGCACUUAUCCAAAUCUAAAGUGCAAUAUUCAUCUCUUUUUCAUAUAUCCUUUGCUAAAUGAAAGUAAUCAUGAUGUCGGGCCCUUCUUUAAAAAAAUAAUAAAAAUCUUCAAUUUAUAUGCAACUCCUUUCUCAUUAUUACUCUUCUUUGUGUUCGACUAUUGUAGUGCUUUUUCUUCUGAGAUAAACUUUAUAGUCCCUAGUGUGAUUGUUUUUACCUUUUCUUUCUUGAAAGUGGAUAAAACAAAUUGAUCUUUGAUUGAUACUUGAUGAUGUCCUAUUUUCUUUUUAUUUUCAUAUUUCUUUUUUCUAACAUAUUGGGGUACGCAAUUGAAAUAGAGGUUCAUUUGUCACAACAGUCCACGCUAAUAUAGACUAUCAAGUUGUGACAGGAAUUAGUCCAUUUGUGCAGCCACAUGACAACAUUUAAAGUCGUCCCACUGCAAGCAAAUAAAAUUAGGUGCCACGGAUUUAAUGGGACAAUCAAUAAAAUUAUGUCCACUGUUUUUUAUUUACUCAUAGUUUAUAAUUAAGUUUUAGAAUAAAUAUGUGACUAGAUUUUAUUUGACAAAGAAAUUGCGUACACUCGUAUGCAACUGUGACAUCUAACUAUCUCUACCAUUUCCAAACCAGAACUUCUAUGUCAUGUUUAAAACACGAGCAAGGAAUUUUAAGUUGGAGAAAGACUUUAGGUAGAAUAGAGACACAAUAUAUGAAAAAGUAAAUGUAUGCGUUAUGAGAUUUUCGAAGACAAGCAUAUUUGUUGACUCGGUAGUUACAUCGAAGUCUUACUCUUCGAGUUAAGUCAACGGUGCAAAAUUCAUGGAAUCUGCAUUUAAUUGUCUGGCUAAUGGGUUCUCAAAUUGCAAAUGAAAGAUAAAAAGCUUUGGUUACACACACACACCCAAAAAGAGAAAAAAAAAUGCCGCCACUGGGCUAGAUACUGUUUAGGAAAUGAAAUAUGGUGACUAAGAUAAAGGUGUUUGCUCAUACAUUAUCGUGCUCUCCUCAAAGUAAAAGUGAGCAAAUGGUUGAGCAGAUCACCUCGACCAGGAUGUUGUUUGGUGACCUCGAGCACAUCACCUCGACCAGGAUGUUAUUGGUCACCUCGAGCCGAUCAUCUCGACCAGGAUGUUAUUGGUCACCUCGACCAGAAUAAUAUGUGGUGACCUCGAGCACAUCACCUCGACCAGGAUAUUAGUGCUCACCUCGACCAGAAUAAUAUGUGGUGACCUCGAGCACAUCACCUCAACCAGGAUGUUAUUGGUCAACUCGACCAGAAUAAUAUGUGGUGACCUCGAGCACAUUUUCUCGACUAGGAUGUUAUUGGUCACCUCGACUAGGAAGUUACCAGGAAGCACGAUUCAGUCAAAACAUUUUCUCCGAAAUAUUAGGGACCAUAUUCUUAGUGGGCUGAAAAUUAGUAAAAAUUAGUAGUUUUCUUGAGAAUUCUAGGGGAGAGGAUAAAAACCGCUAUAGUUUCCUAUAAAAACCCUAGGAAGGGGAAGGAAAAAAGGGAUUCUUCUAGCUCUCUCUCUCUCUCUAGGCAACUGAAUCCAUUGGACCUUUUUCUCUCUCUACCACUGGAAAAUUUCUCUUUCGCUUAGGAUUUUUUUAAGAUUAAUUAUUCUCAGUUAUUUUCCUUUAAAUUUACUUAAAAGCUUUUUUGUUUAAAGCAAUCAUAAUUAAUUCACAUGAAUUGUGGUAUGGAUUUUUCCAAGUAAGACCCAAAUCGCUGACUUGAGCAUCGGAGGGUUCUUGCCAGAAAAACUUUCGGCACUUUCUGACUGUUGGUUGUGCUCACAGGCUCACAGGUUAUCUGCUCAUGAGUUCUCUGCUCAUGGAUCGUCUGCUCAUGGAUCAUCUGCUCAUGAAUUGUCUGCUCAUGGGUUGUCUGCUCAUGGAUUGUCUGCUCAUGGGUUGUCUGCUCAUGGAUCGUCUAUCCAUAGAUUAUUUGCUCAUGGAUUGUCUGCUCAUAGAAUAUCUGCUCAUAGAAAUUCUGCUCAUGGUGUUAACUAAUCAGCAGCUUCCCACCAAACAAAUUUAAUGCUGAUGCAGGGAUUUGAGAUUCGAUCCACUCAUCCGGAUUUCGGCAUCAACAGAUACAAUUAGCUGAAAUGAGGAUAUUAAAAAGAACACGUGCUCUAUUUAAUUGGUAGAGUAUUAAUGGAGCUUGUGUAAUUGUACAUUUACUGUUUUUUAAGGUUAUUUUUCAUAUAGUAGAAAGAUCAUAAAAUGUUUUUAUUGAAUUACACUCAUUUAAUGUAUGUAUGAUAUAUAUGCGUAUGAAUUAAAUAUAAAUAUAGAUAAAGGACAGUGUAUGCCAGCAAGAAAACUUUUUCUCUAGAUUGAAAAUGAUUUAAAAGAACCAUUUUUCUCCCACUAAUAUCUUCAAAAUCAUUAUUGUUAAUAACAGAACCCAAAAAAUAAUUAAAUAAUCUCUUGUUUAAUAUGUUGCAUGCUUGCAGAAAAUUGCGGAUGAUUGAACCAAUAAUUCAACCUUUACUCCAUGAGCUUUAAACUAAUAAUCUGUCAUCAGUUAUUGUCUAAAUAAAGAAAUUUAUGAAUCGGUAUAAAAUGGGGUCCCAAAUCCUGACCUACAUUGAAAAUUAGGAUAUGAAAUUUGUAACAAAUCUUAUAUAGGGUUUGUAUCUCGAUUGUUAUCUGGAUAAUUUUGCCAGCCUAGGUUCACGUAUUAACAGUUAGAGCGGGAGAUCCCAAAAAAGGGUAUCUUGAAUUUAACCAAAUUCAUUAUAAGGAUAUAUGGACCCAUUUGAUUGCCUAAGGGAUCUCGAAUGAAAUUUUCAAACAUCUCAAAUCCUGCCUUGAUUAUUAAAUUGGAAGAAAACUAGAUCUUGAAUCUCAACUCGAAUAAUAAAUCAGAAUGAGAAAUUUUUAUCAAAUCUUGUAUCAUUUAGGACGGACUCCCAAAUUCCAAUCGAGAUUUGAGGAAUUUUGUAUUAGCAACUAGAGCCGAAGAUCCCAAAAAAUAUCUUGAAAUUAACCAAAUUCACUAUAAGGUAUGAACUCAUUUGAUUGCACCCUUAAAAAGUAUUACAGAUGACACCACACAAUCAUAUUAUUAAAACAAACCAAACCACACAUAUCCAGGCUUAGCAUGUAUAUAUAAGAGCACAAAAAAUAACUUCUUUCUCGUUAUAAAGGAGAACAGAAUCAGCUAGAAGCAGGGGAAUCAAAGUACAACAGAAAAUAAAAGAAAAAAAAUGAUACACAUUCAUUUGUUCAGCAAAAACCAAUGACUAUAAGGUGAGCAUGAGGCAUCAACCUUUAAAAUUGGACAGAAUAAGCUAAUUCCUUAAAAUUCACAUGCUAAUACUAUUUAUAAUUUCUAAGUCCAAAGUUUAAAAUAAUAGGUAGUAUUUGUUCAAAACAAGCAUUUAUAAUUAUUAUUCGGAUGAUUAUUUCAAGAAUCUAAGAUAAUAACAAUCCAGUAUUCAAGUUAUUUAUGAAUGAUUAGGGCUUAAAAUCUCCAUAAAAUUGGAGAUUCUGAAGAUUAGGCAAUAUGUCCCAGUUUCUAUUUCUUGUAUUUAGUCCUCUAAUGUAUCAACAAUCAAUGCUAGAAACCCAAUCCCCGAAAUUGAAUUAAAAAAAUAUAGAAAACAUAGAGCAAAUCAACAGUAGAUUCAGCAGCGAUGAUGCCUACAUCCAAACUUCUCUUCUAAUGGAAGUGAUGCAGAAUUCCCUUAAGAUAAUUAUGACCAUUAACAUGUAUUACACAUGGUACGACCAAACCACACACGUCCACACUGAACUGGAGUUUCAAGCACAUUACGAGAAUGAAGACACACGAAUAGAAUAUACACAGUGAAUCCAAAAACUUGACAUGAUUGCUUGUAGCAGAUCCUUGAAAACAAAGAAACCCAACAAUGUCCUGCAUCAAUCCUGAGGACUCAAUAAUGUGUAGACAACAGAAGUGAAUAUUGAAAGGAUCAAGGCCGGAUUCUAGUUGAAAUUGAAACUUUUGCUGCACUACAGUUGACAAAUUUCCCGGUCUGAUUUCACCUGCGCAAGUAAUUUAAGAUCUGAAAUUAUAGUUUUUCCUCACUGUUCAACGAUCAAUACACAAGGGUUCUGAAAUUAUAGUUUUUCCUGACUGUUCAACAAUCAAUACACAAGGGAAAAUGGUCGGGGUCAACUUCAGGAUCUGUGAUGAACACUUCAUCUCUAAUGUUGAGACAAAAAUUAGAAGCAACCACAAUUAGAAAACACUUUAUAGCAUUAGGAAGCUGCGUACUAUCAAAUAUAUUGAGGAAAAGAAAAAACAUAUGUAUGAAAUUAGAUUAAUAAUUAAAGGUUGAUGAUAUUGCAUAAAAUGAAAAACUUACAUCUAAUUAAAUCCAUGCGAAUCAAAUUCCAUAAGGAUAUACUUGAUUGUCAUACUGCGCCUUAUCCUCAAAGUCUCGUAGCUUUUGUCUCAGCUUCGGCUAAGGCCUCGAAUUUGUUUAAGCUCUUUAUGCACCAAAGCUAUUCAGGAAUCUUUUUCCAGUAAGCACAAGUAUUGAGAAUCAAGCAUUCUAGUUUUGGCCUGGCUCCAAGCCUCAUGGUCCACUCCUCUAGCCAUGGCAUUGAAUUCAGGUGCACUAUCUUGAGCUUUGGGAAACCAUCAGACCUACAAGUCAGCUAUCGACCUGAAUAUGAGUUUUGCUUCAGUUUGAGCACUUGAAGAAGUGGCAACUUUUCUAGUGUUCAAGUGCAGGCAUGGGAUCAUCCAUUUGUUCAGUAUUAGAGAAACUCAAGUGGAUUAGACUUUGACGAAGUAGGUAUUUGGCACAGACGAUUUUGGAGAGCCUUGGCAUCUUGCUUUCAUUCACCAUCUUCAAUGACUAGAUGCAUGAGUUUAUUCAUCUUCCAAAAUUCAUCUACAGUGUAUGAUCUAUUUAGCUAAAGGGCAUGGCUAUGGGGUACAGAUUCAGAGAUUUCUUAAUAAUGAUGAAGCCAGGCUUUUGAGGGAAGGGAUAUUCAGCUUCAAAUAUCAAAAGAAAUAAAGUUUCAAUUUUGGAUGGAAAUUGGCUGAGAACAAGAGAUCCCAAGUCCAUUACUCAACCGAUUUUCACCCAAUCUAUGGGGUCAAGGUGGUCGCUUUCUGAAGUACAACAAAGAAUGCAGGUGCGAGUCACAAUCAUCUAAGUAAGCAAAAUCACUCUGUUUUUAAAAAACGUACACACGUUUGACAUUUUUUCGCAAUUUACCUUUUUGAUCCAGGAUAGGGGAAAAGGUAAAUUUCGCUUUGAGAGCCAUUUGCAACAAUGAAGCCCAGCAACGACUACGAAUAGGGCAUGUGUUGAUUCUACCUCCAUCGCUUCUCUUCUUUGCAUCAACAAAGACUCUAUUCAUUAGUUGUUCCAAGUACUUCUCGGCAAUUGCCUCGCUAUUGUCUGGAAUGAAACCUUCAGAUAUCCACAACUGAUAUAACUGCCUGGUGGAUGUCUCUAGGUGUACAGGAAACAUAGAUAAGUAAGGAAAACAAAGUUUCAAGCAAAAAGGUAAACAACUCUCAAUGGUCCUCUAGUAGGCACUAAAUCAAGCCAAAUAUUCUGUCCACUUUUAAACUGAAAUGAGGUGACGAUAUGAAUUUCAGUGAGUGUUAUUAGUACUCCACUUCCAUUCUGAUUAUCCGGAAGUAUUUCUUGAAUAACAUCCCACACUUCAAUGCUUCACACAUCAUCAACCACAAUCAAAUACCGCUUGAUCAUUAGAUAUUCAUGAAGAAAUUUGUUUUCAUUUCAUAAUUUUUAUCCUUUAUUACACUCAACCUAGAUGAAGGCAUUAGAAACUUAAUAAUGAUAUCUAAUAUUUGGUCAUCAUCACCAUCAUAGCUGUAAGGCUUUGGAACCUAAGCGUGACAAUUAAAAUAAUGCUUCACAUCACUGCUGCAUUAAGCCUCUGCAGCAAAAGCCACAUUGCCCAACCCAACGCUAUCAAGAUGGCCACCACUGAAAGCUGAGGUGGCCCCUCUAUUAAUAUAUCUAACAACUCCUCCAUUUUGUCUUCUAGACCCACCGUGCCCCUAUGUCCUUGUUGAGUGAUGCUGUUGAGAAUGUGUCAAUGACCUUCUCAGAUUCAUAUGUAAAGCAAUUGAUUUCUGGUGCCAAGGUCUGGGUUGUCAAUUUCAUCUUCUCCUAUUUUUUUGCAGCAGAAGCUAGGACAUAUCAUAUUCAAAGUCCCUCAGCCAAGGAGUAACGAUUUCAACCUCGGCACAAAGGUUUUGAAUAGGUUGUUUUGCAGCAUCAGGCAAUGUGACUUCUUCGCUAGCUAACGUCCUUCUCAGCCUCUCUGAAAAUAGUCUGAAGUUGAUGCCCAUAUCUCCUCAAUCCAAAAAUUAGUGCUGGCUCCCAUGCCUCCCUUCUCUUAGCUAGUACUCCACCCAAGCAGUUGAAUCAAGAUUGCUGACUCUCAAAUUAGAACAGAUCAAGGCAGAGCAGUGCGGGAAAUGAAUCUCACGAUACUCAGUCUUCCAUAUGUUGCAAAAAGAAUAAAGCAAAGAGAAAUAACUACAACAUCAUCAAGUAUCAAUCAAGACCAAUUUGUUUUAUACAUCCACUGUCAAUAAAGAAAGGGUGAAAACAAUUCCACUGGGACCAUAAAGCUUAUCUAAAAAGAAAAGAACAGAGUAAGCACAAGAGCAUUAUCAAUUAUUUAACAAUUUAAGCUGUGGAAAAAUAGAAAAUCAUGCCUGCCACUUAUUAAAGAAGCAAUAACAUAGCAACGUCAUAAAAGCAAUGGAUACAAUCAUUGCUAUAUGUUGAAAUUAACUAACUUCACAAUCUGGACAUGAACUCAUUUGAUUGCAACCAUUAAGUAGACUUAUAGAUCACAUGACACAUGAUCUUAUAAAUGGACUAAACAUAACAAAACACACAUCUCCAUGUCCAGGCUUUGGUGGCUACAUAAUUACAAAACAGCAUGUAAGUAUAUAAAUACAGAAAAAAAUUAUAAGACACAAAAUUUGUUCACAAAGUAAGAAAUUACCUCUUGUUGAUGAGUCCAGAAAUGACCGAGGUGUAGUUUUAAUUGAGCUGACGAUCUUCCUCCACAUACAUCACCAUUUUUUCUUUUUUGGACGCAAUGAGACAUGACUUGGCAUCAUUGUCAUUGAAAUACACCAGAUAUUUCUAGAAUGCCUGCGAAUCUAAUUUAUUUCCAAACACACUUGAGAAUUGGGAUUGUCAAUAAAAGAUGAACAUUGAUCAUUGAUGUGUAGGUUUCAAGUAUUUUGUGUAUGAUGCGGAGAUAAAUUAGAACUCUACAUGACCAUCUGAAGAAUUUUUUCUCAAAUGAAUCUUUUGAGUUGGAAUUUAGACAGAUUCACUAUCUAAGUAUCUUGAAGCAGUGGAGAAUACAUAUGACAAAGGUUGAAGUAACUAAUUUUAUGAGCAGGAACUGAAAUGAUUUUGGCAUGAGAUUACAACAGGUGAUUAACAUAUAUGCUUCGUCUAAGGCAGCCUCAUUUUAAGUGUUAUUUCAUCAGGUCAACAAUCUUCAGGAGAAAAAUGAAUCAAGGGCAAUAAAGGAGGUGGUUGAUGCUAGUGAUUCCUGAGUGUAGCAGCAAAAAUAAAACUAAAUUGUAGAUUUGCUGUAGUCUUACAAUAGACUCACCCUGUCCUUGUCCUUGUCCUUGUCCUUCUUCUUAUACUGAUGAAUAUGAGGCCGAUGAUAUUUCUGUGAAUAAAGAAAAUGAUAAUAGAAAUGGAACCAUUGGGCAAAUGGUACUGCUGUACCGUACAUCCGCCUUGGCCGUACAGCAGCAUCAGUAUGAUAAAAACUGUAAAAAAAAAGGGCUUUCCUAGAGGUGUAAAUAUCAUGACCCUCACUAGAGAUACCAAGAAAGUCAGCUAGGUCCGCAUCAUCAAAUUCAAUAGGCACAUCGCCGACUUGAGUAACUAUCCUAUUUAGGCGAGUUGCGAAGAUUUCCAUGUUCGAAUAAAAGACUCGUACUAAGUUGGGAUAAACUCGGUCAUCAAAGUCAAUGGCAGACUCCCAAGGCUGAAGCAUAUCCCUAAUACUUCUACCACAUACAACUAAGGUACUGAAAUCAUCUAUUUCAACAUAAGAAGAGUCAAGUACCUUUCGACCAUUGAAGCGAUUCUCGAACCGCUUGGCCAAGGAAGGCAUGGCAAAACUUAAUUAAGGCAAAUGGGUAUUCAACCACGUUGAGUUUUAUUCAACGUGGGUAUUAAUGGAUGAAUGAUUUUGGUAGAAUUAAAGUUUUUUUUUUCCGUUUUUGUUUCAUUUGUCAACUCCAUUUAAUCAAUUAAUCUCAAUGGCUAUAAGGAUCAUUUUUAAUGCAAACGGGUAUUUCUUUGCUGCAAAAGACGGCUUUGGUGUGAUUGUAAGGAAUUGAGAGUGAGCAGCACAUCCUGCGUGCCAUCAACUUCUUUGCACUACAGGCACCCUCUGCAUGCUGUGAAGGGAAAAAUGUGAAAACCAUUGCAUGCUGUGGGGCUGCUAAUCAAUCAAUAGAGAAAGAAUUCAGUAAUCAAUUCUAGCAAAGCUUCCAAAACGUGCAGCACUAUAGAUUAAAUCUUCCACUUUCAGAACUUUACUCAUUAAUCUUCUGCUCCAAAUCACCAAUGAUUAGUGCUGGUUUUUUAUUUUACAAGGGCUUAAUCUCCAUAUAUCUGAAGACUAUGAAGAUUAGGCAAUAUGCCCCAAUUUCUUUUUGUUGUGUUUAAUCCUCUGACAGUACCAAGAUCAAACACCUUAGACCAUCUUUGAUUUGAUGUAUAAAGACUCGUUCUCCGAAAUCCAAACUAAAAAUUGAAUCAAAGUGCCUAAAUCCAGUGAAGACAAGGAUACAAGCUUUCAAGCUUUCACUAUUUCACAAAUCAAGGUUACCAGGAUGUAGAGCUUGUUACAGAGAACAAGAAUAUACAACUUUCUACUUUAACUCUCUCUCUCUCUCUCUCUCUCUCUCUCCAUAGCUUUGAUGAGAUCUGAGAAGAUGACCCAUCAACCAGCCUUAUAAACUAUGAUAAGGCCAUCUCUAACAAUCCCAGAAUUUUCCUGCACUUUUUUAACUAACCCCAACUGACUUUUGACCAGCAUUCUCGCCCUUAUAAUGACUGACACGUCGGUGAAAUUCCAAAAAACCGAACAACAAUGUCGUUCUGCCAGUGUUGAGAUGAUGAGAUGAGAUCAAAGCACAAAUACUUUUCUUCUAACUGAAGUACUAAGCUUGAAGUUGAACUGUACCGCUACUUAAAAACUAGAGAAAGAAAUAAAAUAAAAAUAAAAACAUAACAUAUAUCAAUUUGAAUGUUGACAAAUUGAAUACACACCAGUGAAACUGAAAAUAGAAAGUAAAACAAUUAAUCAGACUUUUGUACAAUAUAUUAAUCUGAACAUGACAUUAUUACUUUUAGCAUGCAAAUCCUUGACAAUUUGAAUGUUGACAAAUUGAAUACACACUAACUGAAGUACUAAGCUUGAAGUUGAACUGUACCGCUACUUAAAAACUAGAGAAAGAAAUAAAAUAAAAAUAAAAACAUAACAUAUAUCAAUUUGAAUGUUGACAAAUUGAAUACACACCAGUGAAACUGAAAAUAGAAAGUAAAACAAUUAAUCAGACUUUUGUACAAUAUAUUAAUCUGAACAUGACAUUAUUACUUUUAGCAUGCAAAUCCUUGAAAACAAAGAAACCAAACAACGUGUAGACAACUCAGCAGAAGUGAACACUGAAAGGAUGAAGGCUGGAUUCUGGUUGAAAUUGAAACUUUGGCUGCAGUACAGUUAAGAUAUUUUCCGCUGUGCUUUUACCUGCACAUACAACUGAUUGAAGAUCUUAUCAUACAGUUUUUAAUGAAUGGUGUCAGCAUCAGGAACUGUGAUGGACACUUCAAGUUUAUGUUGAGACAAAAAUUAGAAGCAACCACAAUUAGAAUGUAGAAAACACUUUAUAUUAUGAUUAUAGUUUAGGCAGCUGCAUACUAUCAAAUCUUUUGUGGAGAAAAAAAAAACUUUUAUAUGAAAUUAGAUCGAUAAUUAAAGGUUGAAGUUAUUGGGGAAGAAGAAAAAACUUACAUCAAACUCAAUCAGGGCUAAUCAAAUUCCGUAAGGAUAAAUCUGAACGCCAUACUGCUCCUUAUCCUUGAAUUCCCGUAGCUUUUGUCUCAGCUCUGGCUGAGGCCACCAGCAAUCGAAUUUGUUUAAGCUCUUUAUGCACCAGAGCUAUUCAGGAACCCUUUUUAAGUAAGCACAAGGGUUGAUAAGCACGCAUUCUAGUUUUGGCAUGGCCCCAGUCCCCAUAGUCCACUCCUCUAGCCAUAGCAUUGAUUUCAUGUGCAAUACCUUAAGCCUUGGAAAACCAUCAGAACCACAAGUCAGCUUUCUACCUGAAUACGAGUUUUGCUUCAGUUUGAGCACUUGAAGAAGCGGGAGCUUUUCUAGUGUCGGCAUGGGAUCAUCCAUUAGGUUAGUAUUAGAAAAACUCAAGUGGGUUAGACUAUGAGGAAAUAGGUAUUCAGCAAGGAUGAUUUUGGAGAGCCGUGGCAUCUUGCUUUCGUUCACCAACUUCAAUGACUCGAGGCAGCUCAAUCUGCAAAUACUUUGGGACAACAAAAAUUGAUAAUAACUUAAAUCUCCCCAUAUGCAGAGAUUUCGAAGACUAGGCAGUCUGCCCAAUAUAUCUUCAGUACAGCAGCAAGGAUGCAAGGCCGAAAUGAAAUUGACAUUUUCCAGAGAGCCGCAAUAUUUUCCUGGACGUGCAGGAAGUAUGAUUGAGCCAAAAUUUAGAUGCCUGAGUUUGUUCAUCUUCCAAAACUCAUCUGCUGUAUGAUCUAUGUCGCUAAAAAGCAUAUUGAGUGUGUACAUGUUCGAAAGAUAGUUGAAAAAUGAUGAAGGAAGGCUUUUCAGGGAAGGGAUAUUCAACUUCAAAUAUCUUAAAAGAGAUAAAUUUUCAAUAUUGGACGGAUAUUGGUUGAGAACAAGGGAUCCUAAGUCUAAUACUCUGAGAAGUUUGUACAUUUCACAAAUUUUCUGCCAAUCUAUGGGGUCAAAGUGGUCGCUUUCUGAAGUGAAGUACAACAAGGAAUGCAGGUGCGGGUAAUAAUCAUCUAAGUAAGCAAAAUCGCUCUGUUGUUCUAGAGCACAGAAACGUUUGACAUUUUUUCGUGAUUCACCUUUUGCAUCCAGGGUAGGGGAAAAGACAAAUUCAGCAUUCAAAGCCACUACAAGCAAUGAAGGCCAACAACGACUACGGAUAGAGCAUGUGUUGAUUGUGCCUCCAGCUCUUCUCUUCUUUACUUCAACAAAGCCUCUAUUGAUUAGUUGUUCUAAGUACUUCUCAGCAGUUGCCUCGCUGUUGUCUGGAAUGAAACCUUCAACUAUCCACAACUGAUAUAACUGCCUGGUGGAUAUCUCUAGGUGUGCGGGAAACACAGGUAAGUAAAGACAACAAAGUUUCAAAGGAAAAGGUAACAUGCAAUGUGCGACGGAUUGAAGGAAAAGGGGCUUAUCAAUUGCUUCCCUUUUAUUUUCUUCUAAUGAGAUGCUUCCAUGGUAUAGGAUGUGGAAAGGCCAUCCUUGGUAUGUCACUCGCAAUGGUCCUCCAGUUGGCACUAAAUCAAGCUGAAUAUUCUGUCAGUUUUCGAACUGAAAUAAGAUGACGAUAUCAAUUUUAGCGAGCGUUAUUAGUACUCUAUGUUGAUGCUGAAAUCUGCUCGCCCUUUGCCCGACAAGAUUUUUACACUAACGUUCACGUUAUCAAUAAUGAAGAUAUCAAUUCCUUCUUACUUCAACGAUUGCUCCAGCCACUGAAGUUGGAGUUGUCCCUUUUUUUCUCACUAAGCCUGCGUUCACAAAAGUGGAUCAGAGACACCGGUGGUUUUGCCGGCGCAAACCCUCUGAUGCCUAAGUUAGCUAAAGGUGUUUAUGGGAAAACGGUGCAAUUAGGGUUCAAAUAAUUUCUUAGAAUUAGCUCACUCUCGGUAUUAAAAAGCGUCUGGAUACAAUUUGGCAGAGUUUUCCCUUCUCUCAUUUUUUCUUCCCUUUUCUUCAUUGAUUUCUUCUUCUUUUAUAGCCGCUGUCCCACGUUCCUGUUUAGCCUUAAUCCCUCCUUUUUCGGGUGGUGGCAGCCCCUCAUGGGACUCUAACUGCUACAUUAUGGGCAAACGUGGGAUCUCGCGUCUCCCGCAACGGUUCUGGAAAAAGCGCAACUACCGUGAUUCUGUGGGAUCGUGUUCCCACUUUUUCGGGGGAUGGGUAUCGGCUCGGUAUAUACCUCUGGUCAGUAUACUCCCCUGGUUGGUACUCGUCUCUAGUCUGCUCAUAUUUGUCCCCGUGUUCUGCUCGUACCAUUUGGCUGAGAUGAUCCAUGCCGGGGCAGAAAUAGUAGCAUGGCCGACCUGAUGCUUUUAUUUACUUAACACCAGUCCCCCAGUUUAUGGUCUUGCAAGUGAAAUGAAUUAAGAAUAGAAACUGAUAGUCAAAUGUUACCAACCCGGGGGCUUCUCAUCUGGUCUUCUAUUUACCGGGACGGACCUGAGGUACCAUUUUUCUUCUGGGGAGGUUCCGACCUGAGCAUGGGCCUUAAUGAGCAUAUCCAUUGCAUAUCUGGGCUUGCAUCUAGCCUGGCCUCUUGUAACGGUUAGUGACGUGGCAUCUCCAGACUGUUCGUAUUUGAAAUUUGAAACGACGGGCUAUUCGUCCUCGAUAUACGGUAAGUGAGCUGGCAUCUUUAUCACUUAAAUGCUUUCAUUUCCUCCUUUUCGUUUCAAAUCCCUAGACUUACAUCAUCAUCGUUUUGUUAUUCGUCUCUCCGUCGUUAACCUACCCCCUCUUUGAACUUUACUUACACUUCCCGUGUUCGGAGUAUCUACUUGCUGGGUUUUUUCUCUGUCACGGCAGCGCUAUCAGGGCCAGUUCAUUCCAGGUAUUGCUUUUAAUCUCUUCCCUGGUUGUUGUUGAUUGGGUUCUGUGUUGCCCCCUUUUGUAUCCGUAUACUUGAGUUUUCUUUGUUUUCUUUUGGGAUUCUGAUAUGUCAAAUCGGAAAAGGAAGUUAAUUGUUGAUGAGAGUGAUGAAGAAACAGGGGAUUCAGACCUUAACGUGUCAAUACCCACCGAUUUCUUAGGUCCCUCCAGUAGUGUAGGUCCUUCCCAUGGCAGGGAUAUCCUUGAAUACCCACGCCCCCUGACCAUUUCGCCUUCCCCUGAAUUAGAGCUUGUGGGGAAUAGAGGUGGACCCACAUCCAGCUCUGGUGAAGAUCACAGUUAUGGUGGGGUUGGGGUCCCUGAAGAAGUGGGUGAUGGCGAGAGAAGCAGUUCCGAGCCGAGCGGACCCUCUAGGAAAAGGAACUUUGGCCACAUAGUGGAGGCAGAUUCUUACCCUAUUGAUUUCAUAGCUUGUGCCACCACCCCCACUGAUCUAUUAAAGCUUAGGAACCUCUACAACAUUCCUGAGGAGGUUCUCCUUGUAGUUCCUGGGAAAGGUGAUGUACCUAGUCGGCCUCCGAAGGGGUACGUGACGAUGCACUUGGAGAGUUUCAGACUAGGAGCUCGGCUGCCCCUUCAACGUUAUUUUGCCAAGAUAUUGGGUGGUAUGCACCUGGCCCCAGGUCAGCUACACCUAAACGGGUGGAGGGUUCUCUCGGCUAUGUUUGUGCUGUGGGAGAGGUGCGGGUCGGAGGAGCCUUCCCUUGUUGAAGUGAAGCAUCUGUACCAGCUGCGAAGCAGCCCAAAGGAGGCGGGCUGGUACUACUUCAUGUCCAGUUUUGCAAAGAGGAAACCGAUCACUGGGUUUCCUUCUUCAUGUAAGAAUUGGAAGAACAAAUUCUUCUUUGCUGGAGGAAACUGGUGUCCAGCAGUCCGGUCGCUUGGUGGGGAUAUUUACCUUCCAAUGCAUUUUAUCACCCCAGGUCGUUCAUUUUUGCCUAUAUUCUUAAUCAAAAUUGCUACUUAUUGAGUUCUUUAACCUUGUUUGUUUUUUUCAGAAUCUUGGGGUUUGGUUAAGGACCUUGAAGACCGACCCUUGCUCCAGGUUGAAACUACUCUGGUGAACGCGUCUACCUGCCAAGACCUGCUGUCACUAAUAAACUUGGUCGGUUCGGGCUUAGUGGACAUUGUUGCCUGGAUGGAUAACAAUAUCCUCAGUGCAAUGAGCAGAAAGCGUGGUCGGGCUCCGAGCAGCUCCAGCAACCCUCCUCCUCCUCCGAAGAAAGUCAGUGUUAGCCCUUCUAAGGCUUCUGUUCCUGCUCUGCCCCCUCCUCCACCUAGUAAGAGUGUCGGGGAGAAAACUAUUGACAAGAGUUCUGAGGUCAGUACACGCUCUGGGGACCGAUCCUCCCCUCUUCCAGCUCGUGAUCAGGGUGACUACCUGAUCCUGUAUCAGAGGGACUAUGGGAAGUCAGUGGGACCGAAGAUGGUCCAGGACAUUGAGAGCAUGAAUCUCAAUGAAUUAGUUGGUUCUGUCCAAAGGGUCUCCUUCAAGUUGGCCACUCUAGUAUCUUGUUACAAGAAUAGGAUCACGCGCCAAGAGAGGAAGCUCCAAGCUGAGAACCAGGACUUGAAGAAGAGGGUUGAGUCUGUUGAUCGCUCGAAGGAGAAGCUGGUCGAGCUGAACGGGUAGAUUAUGGAGCUAGAGGAGAAAGUUGCGGUUGCUGAGUCCACUUCCUCCAAACUUGAGGGUGAGUUGGGUGACCUGAAGUCUGAUCUUCAGGUUACUCAAAGUGAAAGAGAUACUCUGAGGACUGCCCUUGAGGGAGAAAUCAAAUCCUUGAGUGAGCAGCUGGCUGAGGAGAAAGGUAAAUCCGCUGACGUGGACGAUCGGCUGGAUGCCGAGUAUGACUCUGGGGUUGUUUUCUCCUAUAAGUGCAUCAUGUCUGUGCUUAAGGAAGAAUAUCCCGAGCUGGACAUGAGCAAGCUGGAGGCUGGAGUAUAUGGCAGAGAUCGGCCAGGCAGAUAAAGAGUAGGGUGAGCAGGAUCAAGUGGAGGCUCCUUUAGAUGGGGUGCAGGAGGGGGAAGUUGGGGGACAUGCUUUUGAAGUGGGACAAGGGUCCGUGCCUCCUCCUCCCGGUAUUGCUGAUCUUCCACCUCCAGAGAUAGCUGAUCCUUCACUUGCUAAAGCCGUUGACCCUCCUAAUCCUUAGGUCUAUUUUUGUAUAGACUCUAGAUUUUCAUUCGUUUUGUAAACAUUUAAAUGCUUAUAAAUUUUUAGAUGUUCUUUACUGGCUUUCUUGUCUGGUUUUUGCUCAUGGAUUGUUUCUGCAAAUUAAUUUGACAAUUUAUCUGAUUUUGCUUGUUGGUUCUUUAGUGGACCGAGUAGGAAUAUGCAUCCGCUUGCCUUAGUAAAUUUUUGCAAAAUUGCCUGUUGGUCGUUUGUUGACCGAUCAAGAGCAGGCACUUACUUGCCUUAGUAGAAUUUUCGUAAAAUUGGCUGCUGGUCUUUCGUUGAUCGAGCAUAAGCAGGCACUUACUUGCCUUUGUAAAAAUUUAUUGAAAUUGCCUGCUGGUCUUCGUUGAUCGAGCAGGAAUAGGCACUUGUUUGCCUUUGUGGAAAUUUCGUAAAAUCGCCUGCUGUUCUUUCGUGGGCCGAGCAGGACCAGGCACACACUUGCCUUGGUAAGAAUUUCAUAAAUUUAGCUGUUGGUCUUUCGUUGACUGAGCAGGAGCAGACACUUACUUGCCUUAGUAGAAUUUUCAUAAAUUUAGCUGCUGGUCUUUCAUUGACCGAGCAGAAGCAGACACUUACUUGCCUUAGUAGAAGUUUCGUAAAUUUAGCUGCUGGUCUUUUCGUUGACCGAGCAGAAGCAGGCACUUGCUUACCUUAGUAGAAUUUUCAUAAAUUUAACUGCUGGUCUUUCGUUGACCGAGUAGAAGCAGACACUUACUUGCCUUAGUAGAAUUUUCGUAAAUUUAGCUGCUGGUCUUUCGUUGACCGAGCAGAAGCAGACACUUACUUGCCUUGGUAGAAUUUUUUUUUAUUGGGUUUGCUAGCAGGGGGAUUUCGUGCUGAAUUCAUCUUUAUUGAAAUUUGAAUGCAUUACAGGAACACAGAAUAUAUGUAUGUGCAACAAGCCAUCAUGCAUUUAAUAGAAAUAACUUAUGAAGACUUAGUAGAGCACUUUGCUUACUGGAAAUACUUCUUCAAGUGCUCGGCGUUCCACAACCUCUUUACGUCUCGUCCAUCUGUGUACACUAACUUAUAAGCUCCUGGUCCAGUUGCUCGUAUCACCCUGUACGGGCCUUCCCAUUUCGGGCCAAGAGCGCCAUGGUUGGGAUCCCUGGUGUUUUGGUUCACCUUCCUAAGCACCCAAUCUCCUGGUCGGAACUGCCUCACGCGUACGUUCUUGUUGUAAUAACGCGUGACCCUUUGCUGACAUUGGGCCACUUUCUGCGAGGCCCCUUCCCUUUUCUCCUCCAGCAGGUGCAGGCUCAAGAAGAUCUGCUCGCCAUUUUGCUCCUCAUUGAAGUAUUCCGUCCGAUGUAUUCGUACUCCAAUUUCUGCUGGGACUACCGCCUCAUGACCAAAAGCUAAGGCAAAUGGGGUUUCCUCUGUAGCGGUUUUGUGAGUUGUCCGGUAAGCCCACAGUACCCCUGGUAGCUCGUCAACCUAAGCUCCCUUCUUCUCUCCCAGUCUAGUCUUCAGGAGUUUCUUUAUCACUUUGUUGGCUGCUUCCACUUUUCUGUUUGCCUGGGGGUGUGCGGGGGUGCAGAACUUCAGGUCCACCCCUAGGUUCCGGCAAAAUUCUCUGAAGUUGUUGUCAAAUUGCCUUCCAUUGUCGGUGAUGAUGGUAUAAGAGAUUCCGUAUCUGCAGAUGAUAUUCUUCCAAAUAAAAUCCGUUGUCUUUCUCUCCGUGAUUUGGCUAAGGACCCCCACUUCUAUCCACUUGGUGAAAUAGUCUAUUGCUACAAUUGCAUGGGUUGCCGCUCCUCGGCCUUUCAGUAACGGACCAAUCAGGUCGAUUCUCCAUUGAGCAAAAGGCCAUGGGGAUGUCAUAGUGGUGAGCUUUUCUGGGGGUUGUGCGGGAACCUCUGAGAAGCUUUGGCAGAUUUUGCAACUCUUUGCCAUCCUUUUCGCAUCCUGGUGCAUGGUCGGCCAAAAGUAUCCUUGCCGGAGUGCCUUGAAGGCUAAAGUUCUUUCUCCUGAAUGAUUUCCACAUAUUCCUUCAUGAAUCUCCCUUAGUACAUAGUCUGCCUCCUCAUCAUCCAAACAUCGCAAAAGGGACAAGGUGAAUUCUCGGCGAUAGAGCACCCUAUCGAGCAGUGCAUACCUCGCUGCUCGGCGUUUUAACUUUCUUGCUUGCCUUUUGUCCUCCGGUAAAAUGCCAUCGCGGAUGUAUGCGAGAAUCGAGUCCAUCCAAGAUUCUUCGAUGCUUAUUCUCAUUACCUCUACUUCCUCUCCUAUACUCGGCGAGGCCCUCAUCUUUAGUGGAACUGACUUAGGUAAUUUGGGAUCUACUGUUGCAGCCAUUCUUGCCAACAUGUCUGCUCGGUAAUUUUCAUUCCAGGAUAUCUGCUUCACCUCUACCUUUUUGAAGAGUUCAACCAUUUGUUUCGCCUUCUUCAAAUAAAGCCCCAAUUUCUCUUCCCUUACUUGGAAUUGAUCACUGAGCUGAUUACAUAUUAGCUGGGAAUCUGCUUGGAUUUCUACUCUUUCUGGGCUUCGGAUUAUAACUCCUGCUCUAGAUCCCUGUUCACUACGUGACCCAUCAACCAUUACCAGCCACACCCCCUUUGGAUCCUUCUGUUCCACUAGUUGUUCCUCCUGGACCUCUUCCCCUGGUUCAACACGGUCAACCAUAAAAUCAGCCAGGGCUUGGGCCUUGAUUGCUCCUCGGGGCCUAUAGGACAGGUCGAAUUCGCUCAGCUCCAUGGACCACUUUACUAACCGCCCUGAUGCAUCUGGUUUUUGGAGCAUUUUCCGGAGAGGUUGGUCGGUCAUCACAAUUAUCGGGUGGGCCUGAAAAUAUGAUCGCAGUUUUCGUGCUGCCGUUUUUAAAGCCAGUGCCCAUUUCUCCAUCAAUGGGUACCUAGUUUCUGCGUAUACCAGGGCUUUGCUAGUGUAAUACACAGGGUGUUGCUUCCUUUCUUUUUCUCGGACUAACACUGAGCUGGUGGCCCAUUUUGAGAUUGCCAAGUAUAAAAACAGUUGGUCACCUUCUCUCGGAGUUGAUAGUAAUGGGGCGUGAGCCAGAUAUUCCUUCAGCUGCCCAAACGCUUCCUCACAUUCUGAUGUCCACUCCAUCUUUCUCCCUUUCUUUAUGGUUUCGAAAAAAGGGUGGCAUUUAUCUGUGGCCCGCGAGAUGAAUCGGUUCAAUGCUGCCAAUUUCCCUGUAAGGCUCUGCACCUCCUUAACUGUUCGUGGGGACCUCAUUUCUGUUACCGCCCGUAUUUUUUCUGAGUUGGCCUCGAACCCUUGGUGGCUCACCAGGAACCCCAAAAAUUUGCCAGAGCUGACCCCAAAUGCACAUUUCUCCGGGUUUAGCUUCAUUCCAUACUUCCUCAGUAGUUCAAAGGUCUCUUCCAAAUGUUUCACGUGAUCACUCGGUUCUUUGGACUUUGUGAUCAUAUCAUCCACAUAUAUCUCCAUAGUAUGACCGAUCAAUUGCUUGAAGAUCUUGUUCACCAACCUUUGAUAGGUGGCUCCUGUAUUUUUCAGGCCAAAAGGCAUCACCCUGUAGCAAAACAAACCCAUGUUAGUUAUAAAGGUGGUGUUUUCCUCAUCCUGCUCGUCCAUGGGUAUCUGGUUGUAUCCCGAAAAGGCAUCCAUGAAGCUGAGCAGACUGUGACCCGCUGUUGAGUCCACCAAUUGAUCUAUCUUUGGUAGGGGAAAACUGUCAUUCGGACAUGCCUUAUUAAGAUCUGUGAAAUCCACACACAUCCUCCAUUUUCCGUUGGCCUUCUUUACCAGUACUACAUUGGAAAUCCACUCUGAGUACUUGGCCUCCCUUAUAAAUCCUGCUUUCAAUAGUUUCUCCACCUCGGCAUUUAUGGCCUCGUACCUUUCCUAGUUAAAGCAUCUUCUCUUCUGCUUCACCGGCCUCGCCUCAUUCUUGAUUGCCAACUUGUGGCAAGCUACCCCGCGAUCAAUUCCUGGCAUAUCCUCGUGAGACCAGGCGAAUAUAUCUGCAUGAGACUGUAGGCACUUUACCAGCUCGCCUCUUACUGUCCCAACCAAUCCUGAACUGAUCUUAACCACUCUGCUCGGGUUGCUUUUGCUUACCGCAACUUCUUCCAGUUUCUCAACGGGUUCUUGGCGGCCCUUUUUAGACUCUCCUCGGUUAUCUAGAGAAGUAACCUGUAGUGUCUCCUUGGCCGCUGUAGCAUAACAACUCCUUGCCAUUCUCUGGUCGCCUUUUACUACACCAACCACUCCAUUUACUCUGUAUUUCAGUGCCAGAUAAUGCGUAAAUACAACGCAUUGGCUUAUCCUCAUGAAGGGUCUCCCCAGUAUCAUCUGGUAAGGGCUUCUUUCCUCUACCACGACAAAGUCCAGCAUCAUCGUUCUUUCAAACGGCUUUGUCCCCACAGUAAUUGAGAGUUCGAUGAUCCCCAUGGGAGUUAACCGUCCCCCUCCAAAUCCCUUUAAGGAUGUAUUUGUCCGUUCUAAUUUCAAGUCUGCAAUUCCCAUAUCAUCUAGGGCCGACUUAAACAGGAUGUCAACCGAGCUGCCCGUGUCUACCAGUAUUCGUCCCAAUUCUGUACCAGCCACCAUUGCCUUAAUCACCAGUGCAUCCUCAUGAGGAUAUAAGAUACCCUCUUCAUCGUCAUCUGUCCAUAUAAUGGGAACUUGCCGCACUUUUGCCUUCUUGGUUGCUGGCAAAUUGAAAAGCACCUCUUUGCUAGUCAUGGCGUAUCUCCCAUAGUUCUUCCGUGCCUUGUUCGAAUCCCCAGCCAAUGUUGGCCCUCCUGCUAUCACACGGAUAGUCGGCUGUUCACAUUCCAGGCCCCUCUCAGCUCCUUCAUCCCGCGUGUACUGUGAUUCAAUGACGGAGGACACCCCAUCUACAUAUUUAUCCAAAUAACGGUUUCUCACCAAAUCCUCCACCUGGAUCUUUAAGUCACGACAUUGGCUGAUUGUGUGACCGUGAGUGUCGUGAAAUUUGCAAAAUCUGCUCUUAUCCCGUCGGUGAGCAGGUUUUGUUAUAGGGGUUGGAGGGUACAACAGGCCUCGUCCCUCGAUUCUCUCGUACAACUCCUCCAUAGGGACUUUUAACGGGGUGUAUUGUCUAUACGCUGAGCUCUGGUCAAUUAGCUGGACUACUCGGCUAUUAUGAAUAUUGUCCCAAGCGGAUAUUGAAGGUAGCUGACCUGAUCGUCCCGUUCUGGAGUUGGCCGUGUGUAGUGCUUUGGGAGCGUUGUGAUAAGGAUGGUUAGCCAACUGCCGGAAUUCUCGUUGCCGCUCCAGGAAUGGGGGGCGCGGGGGCUGAGCCCUGUUGCGGUCUCUGAGCCAUGGGGUAAGGGCGAGACCGAGCUGAUACCGCACCCAUCAUUGAGGAUUCCCCAGCUCGCUUUCCCGACUCGCUCCCACUUGGGGUUCUCUUUUCCUUUCGUCUCAGCUCCUCCAGCUGUUCACUCUUUAUCCUUGCCGAUUUUUCCUCUUCAAUUUCAAUGUCUCUCUUUGCCUGCUCAUACCUCGCUGAGUAAUUCUGCACCAGGAGACUUCUCAGGUUAUACCAUAGCCAGCCUAUCCUCACACCCUCCUUUAAUCCGCUUAACGCCUGCGGGUGAUUGAAAGCUCCCAAAUUAAACACGGCUCGGUGGUAUCGUUUUACAAAAUCUCGAAGGGAUUCUUGUUCCUCCUGCUUCAUCCCCAUUAGUUCCAUCAUAUCAUCCUCUGGGGCCAUUGCUCCUCGGAACUGUUCGACUAACUCUUGGCACAUCUGCUCGUACCCUCUAAUACUUCCUCGUGACAGCUUGCGGUACCAUUCUCGAGUUCGUCCCUCCAGUGUCAAUGGGAACACCCUACACCUCUGAGCUGGUGUUAACCCCUGAACACCCGUCAUGUCGUUGAAACGUUCAAUAUGCACCAGUGGAUCACUUCGCCCGGAGUAUUUGAGGUCGGGGAAGCGAAAAUCUCUUGGGAUUACAAUACCCAUGAUCUCAAUUGAUAGUGGAGAUUCUUCAUCUAGCAUUAUCCUCCAGCUCGGGGGCUUUCUCUUGCCUUGUAUCUCCUCUAUCACUUGCGCUAAUCUGCGCACCUCUCCCUCCAAUUCUACAGCACGGUCAGGAUCACGCGCAGCUAUCUGAUCUCGCUCCUACUCGGCAUUUUGCAACCCCUGUCUGAGCUCUCCUUCAUCAAUACUGGCCCCUCGGCCAUCAGUUUUCGGUACCCAUCUAGGGCGAGGUUGGUCCCUCCCUUCAUCUACUCGUUCUCCUGGAACCCGACUAGUGCUUCUGUGGGGAUGCACCCCAUUAGGUUGGUCUGCCGGCGGAGGGAUUUCCUCAACUCUACGCCUCCGGAGGCUGGGUUCUGCUCCAACAUCAUCUCUUCCUACGGGGGUUUCACAAUCCUUUCUCCGCUCAUCCCUCAGCUCAUACAGUAUGGUCGCGAGAGUCUCCAUUUGUUUCUUCAUCCGCUCCAAUCGAUCUUGCAUCAUCCUCUCCCGGGCUUCAUUUGUAAUUUCCCAGAGAGUGAUUGUCUCCACAGUUUCAUUAUCCUCCCUCAAAGCAUCCUUCCUCGGCACAUCCAUGUCUAAUCGUUCGUUGCUUCUCCGGUAACUACUAAUUCAGUGGUAGCUUUUUAUCCAGCUCCCCACAGACGGCACCAAAAUGUUGAUGCUGAAAUCUGCUCGCCCUUUGCCCGACAAGAUUUUUACACCAACGUUCACGUUAUCAAUAAUAAAGAUAUCAAUUCCUUCUUGCUUCAACGAUUGCUCCAGCCACUGAAGUUGGAGUUGUCCCUCUUUUUCUCACUAAGCCUGCGUUUACAAAAGUGGAUCAGAGACGCCGGUGGUUUUGCCAGCGCAAACCCUCCGAUGCCUAAGUUACCACAAGGUGUUUACGGGAAAACGGUGCAAUUAGGGUUCAAAUAAUUGCUUAGAAUUAGCUCACUCUCGGUAUUGAAAAGCGUCUGGAUACAAUUUCGCAGAGUUUUCCCUACUUUCCUUUUUUCUUCCCUUUUCUUCAUCGAUUUCUUCUUCUUUUAUAGCCGCUGUCCCACGUUCCCAUUUAGCCUUCAUCCCUCCUUUUUCGAGUGGUGGCAGCCCCUCAUAGGACUCUAACUGCUACAUUAUGGGCAAAAGUAGGAUCUCGCGUCUCCCGCAACGGUUCUGGAAAAAGCGCAACUACCGUGAUUCUGUGGGAUCGUGUUCCCGCUUUUUCGGGGGAUGGGUAUCGGCUCGGUAUAUACCUCUGGUCAGUAUACUCCCCUGGUUGGUACUCGUCUCUAGUCUGCUCAUAUUUGUCCCCGUGUUCUGCUCGUACCAUUUGGCUGAGGUGAUCCAUGCCGGGGCGGAAAUAAUAGCAUGGCCGACCUGGUGCUUUUAUUUACUUAACACUCUACUUCCAUUCUGAUUAUCCGGGAGUAUUUCUCGAAUAAUAUCCCACACUUCAAUGCUCCACACAUCAUCAAUCACAAUCAAAUACCGCUUGGUCAUUAGAUAUUCAUGAAGAAUAAUUUUUUUCAUUUCAUAAUUUUUAUCCUUUAUUUCACUCAACCUAGAUGAAGGCAUCAGAAACUUAAUAAUGAUAUCUAAUAUUUGGUCAGCAUAGCAGGUGUAAGGCUCUUGAACCCAAGCAUGACAAUCAAAAUAAUGCUUCAUAUAGUUGCUGCUGUAAGCCUCUGCGGCGAAAGCCGUCUUGUCCAAUCCAAUGCUAUCAAGUAUGGUCACUGCGGAAAGUUGAGGUGGUCCUUCUAUCAAUAGAUCUAACAACUCCUCCAUUCUAUCAUCUAGACCCACCGUGUCCCUACUUUUAGAAGAUGAAGAUAUACCGGCUUCAGCUUCAAAAGUUUUGAUGGCAUCAAUGAUUUCGGAAUCCGUGUGCUCAAGUUGUUGCAUCCGUUGCUUAAUAUCAGUGAUUCUGCUUUGGGGUCCUUGCAGAGCAUUACAAAUGUCCUUGCUGCCGCUGCUUUGACUCUUUUGUUCACUGAUGCUGUUGAUGAAUGUGUUAAUCACCUUCUCAGAUUCAUACGUAAAGCAAUUGAUUUCAUCCAUAAUGUUCCCGAGAUCAGGGUCAUCAAUUUCAACUUCUCCUAUUUUUUGCAUCAGAAGGCAGGAGAUAUCAUCUUCAAAUUCCCUCAGCCAAGAAGUAACGAUUUCAGUCUCGGCAUGAAGGUUCUGAAUAUGUUGUUUUGCAGCAUCAAGCAACGUGACUUCUUCACCAGCUAACACCCGUCCCAGCCUCUCGGAAAAUAGCAUGAAGUUGAUGUCCAUAUCUCCUCCUCUCUCGGUACCACCCUGUAAUCAGUCCUGUAGCAUGCAAAGAAAUAGUUAAAAACAGAGAGUUGGAAAGAAACUUUGCUUUAAACCUCCCCUACCUCCGUUCUCUUAGCUAGUACUCCAUUCAAGAAAUUGAAUUGAGAUUGUUGACUCUCAAAUUAGAACAGAUCAAGGCAGAGGACUACGGUAAAUGAAUCUUACAAUACACUGUUCUCCAUAUGUUGUAAAAAGAAUAAAGCAUAAGAGAAUAAAUAGGUCUUGAUCAAGGAUCAAUCAAGACCAAUAUGUAUUAUACAUCCACUUUCAAGAAAGAAAAGGUCAAAACAAUUCCACCGGGACCAUAAGGCCUAUUUGAAAAGAAAAGAACAGAGCAAGAUCUUUAGUAAUUUAAGCUGUGGAAAAAUGCAAAAUCACGUCUACCACUUACUGGCGUGCAAAAAGUUUUAUGUAUCCACUGAAACAUUUAUUGUUGAUGAAUGAAACUGGUCUUAGGUUGACCUACACAACUCUUUCUCUCGGUACUCCAGUAGUGCAAGCAUGUUAGUUUAGUCAGUAGUUUCUCCUACACAUAAAUGAUGUUUAUUAUAGAAUUUUGAUAAUGGGUACAAUAAGAAAGUAGUUGCAAAGAAAAUAUUGGGGGUUGAUGUGAUAUCUAUUGACUUGGAGCAUAAUAAAUAAUUACAAAAUCACUAUUUGUCUUUAAUUUUCAUCAUACUCCUUAUUAAAAAAUUAUUAUGAUUACAUAGUCAGUGAUUUAUAUUCACAGAAGACAAAAGUAAUGAAUAAAUAAGCUACCACUUGCAAUUAAUAAAAUGGUAACCCUAUCUGGUAAGGUAGCCCUGUUCAUUGAAAGCAAAAGCAACAGAAUCGUUCACUGUGCUGCCACAAAAUGAUUGUCAUGGAAGGCACCAAAGUUUCCAAGUAACAGACAAAGUCGAAGUAGUUAGCACUAUGAAGCGAGGCUGAAAAUCUUGUUCCUCACGUUAAAUAAUAUUUAAUAACGACCUACUGCUAAUCAUUGUGUUUGUUAAUCUCUGCCUUAUGCCUUAGCUUUAAUAGCAUCUCCAUGUAAUCCUCCCAACCCACUACACGGGAUCAGAGUAUUAGCCAAACAUGUACAUAGAUAACUACUCUCUGUUUCAAUAACUUGUAAUCUUAUCUUAUAUCUCUUUACCGUUAUCUUGUAAUUAUCAUAUAGGCUAUGGCUUAGCUUGUAUUUAUCUUAUAGGCUAUGACUUAUCUUAUAGUGUUUGGCUUAUCAUCCAAGUAUGCUUGACUUGUAUAAAUUGUAACGUUACUCAUUGAUAAAUUAUUGAUUCAUACAAUUUCUUUACAGAGUCAGGCAAGUAUGAAGUUCAUCAAUAAUCAAAUCUCUUCUGUAAAUGAACAAAGCAUAUUGAUUGAGUGCCUAACUGUAGCAACUGGAGUGCUUAAAACCAGAGAUACCUCAGUUGCUGCCCAAUAUCACAAUCCAAUCAAUCAAGAUGCUACCAAGAAUGAACUAAUUUGAAGCUCAAUUGAAAAUGGAAUUGAAACAAGAUAAUGAUGAAAGAACAAAAAGCAAUUAAGAUCAAAUUGAAUUAAAGAAUUGAAAGAACCAACAGAGGAAAAAUCAAUUCAACGUGGUUCAACUAAUUUGCAUUAGCUUGCAUCCAUGGGAGGAAAUUUUUGAUCAGUUUUUAUAGAAAAUACAUUAAUCCCACUUAAUCCAAGACUAGAAAGCAUCACAAACAUUCUUUAUUUUUAUACACAGUCAACUCUCUGCUGAAAUGAAAUCUCUUACUUAAUGAGUACACAGCUGAAACAAAGACAACUGGAAUUACUUUUCAAAUUUGAUACACUGCUAAUAAUAAUGACAAUAUUAAAAUGUGGCAUGUGUUGAUUCUGCUGCCUCAAAGCUUCACUUGAGCUAGCCCUUAAUCUACUGAUUCACCUCACACGAUUUUUGUAACUUGAUCUAAGAAUCAAGUAUGAGUUUGAUAAAUUUCAUGAGAUAGAUAGCAUAAAUUUCAAAGUCGUUAGUUAAUUUGUUAUGAGAUAUCAUAUCACAAACAUAUUUUAUUAGUUUAAAUGAAGCUUAAUAAUUAUUCAACGAGGAUUUAAUUAGUUAAUUGUUUAAAUUUAUUCUUAAUGGAAUGCUAACAAACCAAAUUAAAUUUCUACAUUUAUUUAAUUAUAUACAUGCAUAUCUUGAUAACUAUUUUAACGUGUGAUCCAAUAUAGAACAUAAUUUAAUCUUGAAUUUUGCUCUGAAUAUUUUUAUAGUUGAUUUGUUAUAAAUUUGAACGAGGGAUUGCAAUUACUUGCUCUUUUAUAAAUAUUUUUAUACCGUAGGCAAUAGUUAUAAAGAUUGAUUAUUGAUGAACUUCACACUUGCACACAAAAUUCUAUUAUUGAAAGUCGAUGCUUACUAUAACACGGCGUUUUUCUAGCUUUUACUAGACGUGGUUUCAAUUUAUUGAACCAUUAGAGGGACACAUCAGUAGUCACAAAAGUGCCCCUGUAAAUGGCAAUCCUUGUAAUCAUUUUGCUGCCGCUCUUCAUUCCACUCCCAAGUACGCAGCCCAAACUUCAACUUUCUUUGGGAAGGUAAUGAAGCGUGACUUUGUCUCAGUAAUCUGUCUUUCAUAUUCCAUUGAAUGAGCCAAAGGAGGGAUGCUUCUAUAAUUAGUAGCAACUAUCAAUCAUAUUGAAGGAAUUUCUGCAACAGAUAAAGAAAGAAUAUCAGAGAACAAAGCUGUUAAUCAAUCAACACAUGUACAGCAGUAUUAGUAUUUCUGCCUCAUUGUAUUGCCUAAGCGGGUAUUAGGAUUUCUCCACAAGAACGUUUACUAAGACAUUCAGCCAAGUGUGAAGUUCAUCAAUAAUUAAUCUUUUCUGGAAAUAAACGGAACCUAUUGAGUGUCAGACUUGCCCAUCCUUUGAAACAGGAUUUCAGAGCAAGCAACAGAACAAAGACAGAAAAUACAUUCAACUCAACCCAAACACUAGCAAGCAUCACAAAUAGUAAUUAUUUUUUGUACACAAUUAACGAAACCAUGGCCGAAGCACAAAUCAAUGAACUAUCAACUGAAAAGCCAAAACAAAACUUCUUAUUUAUGAAUAGACAGCGGAAACAAAGAAACCAAAAAAAGUCCACCACCGUAGGAUCAGGACUUAUUUGUGUAGACAGCAAAUGUGAAGACGGAAAGGUUCUGGUUGAAAUUGAAGCUCGGGCUACAGUCAUGAUGUUUUCUUGUCAUGACCCAACCCGUCUUGCCAAUUAAGGUGUGGAUCACCCCUUAUAAACCCAACAUCGCUCCCGUGCUUUGCCGAUGUGGGAUUUGCCUAGGGUGUUACAUACACCUCCCCUUGGGGACUCAGCGUCCUCGCUGAGGUUUGCCCCACCAUCGCUUGAGAGGACAUGCGGAGCCGCUUUGAUACCAUAAUGUCAAGACCCAACCCAGACCUGGCAAGAUAUUGUCCGCUUUGGGCCUUAACAAGGCCUGCACAGAUUUGUUCUUGGGGCGCUCACACACCCCAAAACGCGUCUUGCCAAUUAAUGUGUGGAUCACCCCUUAUAAACCCAGUAUCUCUCCCGUGCUUUGUCGAUGUGGGAUUCGCCUAGGGUGUUACAUACACACCCCCUUGGGGACUCAGCGUCCUCGCCGAGGUUUGCCCCACCAUCGCUCAAGAGUACACGUGGAGCCGCUCUGAUACCAUAAUGUCAAGACCCAACCCAGACCUGGCAAGAUAUUGUCCGCUUUGGGACAAGUGGACACGCGAAGCCACUCUGAUACCAUAAUGUCAAGACCCAACCCAGACAUGGCAAGAUAUUGUUCGCUUUGGGCCUUAACAAGGCCCGCACGGAUUUGUUCUUGGGGUGUAUGGGCGUAAAGCGGACAAUAUCUUGCCAGGUCUGGGUUGGGUCUUGACAUUUUUGCUCUAAUUUCACCUACACAAGUCAUUGAAGAAAUUGUGAAAAAUAAGAAAUCUAAAUUUUUUUUUCUUAACUACUAAAACAAAUGAACAUCGAUGUAUUGAAGAGGGUUGAUGAUUGGGGUGAGCAUUAGAAACUCUAAAGGGUAUUUAAUGUUGAGGCAAAUUAGAAGAAAACAAUUUGUAUAACCAUUUUUGUAUUGAAGAAAAGGGGAAAAAAUAUAUGAAAUUGGAUAAAUAAUUAAAAUUUGAAGAAAUUGUGUAAAAUGAGAAACAUACAUCAAGUUCAAUAGGGGCUAAUCAAAUUCCGUAAGGAUAGCCACUCGGCCAAAGGCCGAGUGGUUAGAGUUGCUGCCCUCCAAGUUGGAGGGCAGCAGUUCGAACCCCCACAAAUGCAUUGUGGGGGUAUUUCCUUCCUUCAUUAAAAAUUGAGUGAAGGUAGUCUUCCUUCUUACCCAAGAGUGAGGAGUAGACAUUCCUCGAAUAUUUGUGAGGGUUAAAAUUUGGGUAGAGCUCCAUUAGCAUUGAUGUAAGUUGGUCCCAGUAAUAGUCUGAUUUAUAAAUAUCAGUUAUAACCUCAUGUAAUAUGAGUUGUAGUUUGAGCAAUAGUCUCAUGUAAUAAAAAAAAAUUCCAUAAGGAUAUAGUUGAAUGCCACACUGUUCCUUAUCCUCAAAUUCCCGUAGCUUUUGUCUCAGCUCUGGUUGAGGCCACCAGCAAUCGAACUUGUUUAAGCUCUUUAUGCACCAGAGAUGUUCAGGCAUCUUUUUCAAGUAAGCACAAGGGUUGAUAAUCAAGCAUUCUAGUUUUGGCAUGGCUGCAUUCCCCAUAGUCCAGAAGUCAGCUUUCUGUAUGAAUACGAGUUUUGCUUCAGUUUGAGCACUUGAAGAAGCGGCAACGUUUCUAGCACCGGCAUGGGAUCAUCCAUUCGGUCAGUAUUAGAAAAACUCAAGUGGGUUAGACUAUGAGGAAAUAGGUAUUCAGCAAGGACGAUUUUGGAGAGCCAUGGCAUCUUGCUUUCAUUCGCCAGCUUCAAUGACUUGAGACAGCUCAAUCUGCAGAGACUUUGAGACAGCAAAGAUUGAUCAUAACUUAAAUCUCCCCGCAUUCAGAGAUUUUGAAGAUUAAGUAGCCUGCCUAAUAUAUCUUCAAUACAGCAGCAAAUGUGCAAGGCUGAAAUGAAAUUUAGAUUUUCCAGAGAGCCACAGUAUUUUCCUGGAUGCGCAGGAAGUGUGAUUGACCCAAAAUUUAGAUGUCUGAGUUUUUUCAUCUUCCAAAAUUCAUCUACCGUAUGAUCUAUAUAGCUAAAGGGCAUGUCUAGGGUGUAGAGGUUCAGAAGAUUGCUUAAUAAUGAGGAAGACAGGCUUUUGAGGGAAGGGAUAUUCAACUUCAAAUAUCUCAAAAGAAAUAAAUUUUCAAUUCCGGAUGGAUACUAGAUGAGAACAAGAGAUUCCAAGUCCAACACUCUGAGAAGUUUGAACAUUCCACAAAUUUUCUCCCAAUCUAUGGGGUCAAUGUGGCGGCUUUCUGGAGAGCAGCACAAGAAAGAAUGCAGUUGCGAGUCAUAAUCAUCUAAGCAAGCAAAAUCAC